CGCCGUGCUACAUCCUUGCUUCUUCCACAAAACCAAGGUCAGCUUGAGUCUCCCAAACUAUAUUCUGGUACCACAGAUUUCAGAUUCAGCAAGCCAUAUAGCCAACCAGAACAAACUGUAAUAGAUUCAUCUGCAUAUCCUGCUGGGCCUCCUUCGCUGAGUGGCUGGGUGUUCAACAGAGAAAGUAUGCAUGCUGAUAGUGAUAAAGGGCCAAAGGCACUUCAUAGACAUGACUUAGAUCCGAUUGCAGAAAUGCCUUCUGCAUCGCUUGGUGGCCUAUCUGUGAAUGAGAAAGAAUUUUCUCCAACUACUUAUAACCCUUCUCCUCUGUAUGUGGCUCCAUUGCCUUCAGCACCACAAUUACCUGCUGAUGCAAAUUGGUUGAAGGGCCAUUCAUCAAAUUUUCAGGAGUCUAAAACUGGAGCUAAAAUCAGAGAAGCCGAAGGAAUAUUAGGUCCAACACCGACCACUAGGUACCCAAACCUGUCUCCUACUCAUGGACCAUUUAGCCCACGGCUUGCAAAUUUUAUUGAUGGCUAUCCACCACUUCUUGGAAUGAGCUCAUCCGAAUGGCUCUAUCAGUACAGGAACAGUCAUAUUGUUGAACAAGCUAAUGAUCGCAUAUGGCCAGUUCAAGUUAAUGCACCAGGAGACUUUGGAAACUUCUACAGUCAUGAUGCUUCCAGGUUUGAUUUUUUCGACAGGUGGGGCAAUCCUCCAGUUCAAGUAAAUGCACCAGGAGACUUUGGAAACUUCUACAGUCAUGAUGCUUCCAGGUUUGAUUUCUUCGACAGGUGGGGCAAUCCUCUGCCUUCCAGUCCAAUGGUUUAUUUGGAUAACCCGCAUUUGAACACAAAUUUGCCUCUCUACGGAGUAGAGGAACAAAGAAGGGAGAAGCUGUUUCAUGGUUACCAAAGACCGAUCUCCUAUGGAUGUGUUACCGCGACAGACUUGGGAGCAGAGAAGCCACCACUUCUACAGUAUCUACAAGAAAGAGAAUGGCAACUACAACGAGAGAAUAAACUGCGAGGUCCUCCCUACAUGGGGAACUAAGUUAAGGUACAUGAAGACUUUAAGACUGACUUCAAUUCUAAGUCUAAAUGUUUGUUUGUACUUGGGUAAAUGAAGGUCCUGCAGGUUUUCAAGUGACAUUCUGGUUGAACUUAUAUUUGAAGAAGUGUGUAUUUCUUGUUUUUGUCCAAAAGCUACAAUGUUCUUGUGCCGAUCAGAUGGUUAUCAAAUAGAUGAAAAAAAUAUGUAAUAUUUCUUUCAGAACUUAGUGAUGUAGAUUGAGGGAUAGUAGUAAAGGUUUAACGAUGUUCAUGCAGAUUGUGACUUGCCUGAAUUUGUAAAUAUUUUUUUUUUUUAUGUUCAAAUUUAACCGUUUGUGAGUGUCAAAACAUUUACCAUAUAAAGACUAAUAGGCUGGAAUAUUUUGUUGUAUUUAUGGUGGUAACUUGGAUUUUUCUAAAGUCGUGUGAACAGUUUCAGAUUGAAGUUAUUUGUGGUUCAUCAAAUAAUUUAAUCGGAUAAAGUCAGAAAUUCUGCAAGAAGAGAGAAUGUGUAUCGAUUGAAGUUAUUUGUGGUUUAUCAAAUAAUUCAAUCGGAUAAAGUCAGAAAUUCUGCAAGAAAAGAGAAUGUAUAUCGUUGUGUAUUUCAAAUGAACCAUCACUUUGAAAUGAUCAAUGCAACAUCUAUAUAUAUGAUGUCAAUAGAUGUGUAUUUUGAUAAUAGACACAUCUUAAUCCAAAUAGAUUUGUCUAAUGGCAAUAGACACAUCCAGUAGAUGUGUCUAAUGUAAAUGGACAAAUCUAAUGCCAAUAGACAUUUCUUUUCCAAUAGAUGUGACUAAUGCCAUUGUUAAUGCUACAAAAUAUAUUUACUCAGGUUAGAAGUAUGUUUUGACAAUAUUUGUAUAAAUACUACCAAUAUUUGUCAUAGACCUGCUGUCUAAUUCGAGAGGAGAAACAUACGGUACAAAUCAGGGGAACUAUAAGGUAAGCCGACUAAUUUUCUUAUAUUCACUAGAAUAAUUGAUCAAACACUAUACAUUUGAUAUAUGAUCACAUUGGUCAUCCUCUAUACUCGGAAUAAACGUGCCUGCAGUGCUGGCAAUUUUUAUUAUAUUUCGGUUAAAAUCUUCGGUCUUCCGAAUGUUGGGGUUCAAGUAGUACAAAAAAACUUAGAAUUGUGAGUAUACAUAUAUCUCUAGCAUAGCCUUUAGCUACUCACAUGUAAAUGCUAGUCAAUUAUGGUUUUCAUGCAUGUAAGGCCAAAAAAAUAUCAUAGCAAAUAAUGAUAAUAAUUGGAUUAUUAUAGCUUUAUAGCGUCCCUAAAGUUUAUUGUUAUGUAAUUCUUCAGUUUCAAGAAAGUAAAACGUUUUGCUUUGCAUGAUUAGUGUUCACGUUUUGGACACUAUAUGCUCACUACUAUCAGUUUCCCUUAGCAUCACACUUUUCAUUAUUUUUUUUCGUGGUCCGUACAUAAAUCUGUCUCCUUUCCAAGUAUAAAUACAGUGUGGCACAUUGUUUCGUCUCACAUUGUUUUUAUUUAUUUGAUAAACUGGUGUCCGUGCCAGUUUGCGCGCACCUGCUAUUUGGUGAAAUGGAUUUUGGGGAGGAAGAUACUCAAAGAAUGUAAGCUAUUCUCUAUCUGUAGUGAUUCUUUUCCACAUAAGGUGUUGGGGUCAUGUUGCUGAUUUUUCGAAAUUAUUUCAUUUUAGAGUUGAUAAUUUUUGAAUUUUCAGGCUGAUGCUAUACAUUCACGAUCAUAUGAGAAAAAAUAACAUGCAUGAGGCUGCUAAGGUAUUUGCAGAAGAGGCAAAUCUUGAGCUAAACCCAGGUCAGUAUUUUAGUUUUUUCAUUAAUUUGUAGUCAGCCAUACAUUUAACAGUUCAUGUAUUUUCUUCAUGCAGUACUGAAAUUUGAUAAAUUAUGAUUUUGUGAAAUAUUUAUUUGAUUUUCUUUUAAGUGAUCGAUGCUCCUCAAGGCUUUCUAGCUGAAUGGUGGGAAGUGUUUUGGAACAAGUACUUCUCCAUCUAUUCCAACAUCCCAGGAUGCGAGGUAAAAUCCUCUACUUAUUCAAAUAAAUAUUUGAGUCACGUGUAUUAAUCUUAGGUUGUGUUCACUUGGAUUGAAUGGAAUGGGGAGAAUGGAAUGAAUUUUGUAAUCUAAAAUAGGGUUGAUUUGAGAAAAUGCCUAUAUAUUUCAUUCCUUCGAUCAUUCCAUUCGUAUGAUUUUAACUAGAAUUCUAACCCACAUGUUUUGAAAGGAAUGUUCAUUCCAUUUCAACAUCAUCUUUCCUUACAAUCUUUAUCACAAAAAAUCUAAACUCAUUCAUAUUUAGUCACUACUAUCUUAUUCUUUCUUCUUUCUCCAUAAAAGUUCUAUAUAAUAUUUGAUUUCAUUAUCCCCUUAUUCCAUUCCAUCCAAGUGAACAGAGCCUUAUGUUGUGUUUGGUUGGGGAGAAUGGAAUGAAAUGGAAUGAAAUGAGUAAAAAUACUUGAAACUAAUAGAGAUAGGAAGAAAGUUUUGAAAAAAAUUGAGGGAGUGCAAAAUUACUAUGAUGAGAUUUGAGAAGAAUUUGAUGAUAGGAGAGAAUGGAGCAUUCCAUCUCAAAUUGAAGGUGUGAUAUUUAGCAUAUGAUGCAAGGAAUGGAAUGGAGGAAAGAUUGAAAUUUCUAAAAAUUAUCCAUAAGAUAGUUCAUUUUUCAUUCCAUUCCUUCCGGAAUCAUUCACCCCAACCAAACACAACAUUAGGUUGUGUUCACUUCAUGGAAUGGAAUGAGUGGAGAAUGGAAUGAAAUUUAUAUUACAAAUUGUGAGUGAUUAGUGAAAUUGUUUAUAAUUUUCAUUCCUUCACUCAUUCCAUUCUAACUAUUUUAACUAAAAAUCUAACCCACAUGUUUCGAAAGGAAUGUUGAUUUCAUUUGUUCAUCAUCUUUUCCUAUCAUCUUCUUCAUGAUAAAUUUUAACUCACUCAUAUUUAAUCAUUAUUGCCUCAUACGUUCUCCAAUCUCCAUAAAACUUGUUCAUAUAGUUUCUUCCAUUCUCCCCUCAUUCCAUUCUCCCCUCAUUCCAUUCCAUGAAGUGAACACAACCUUAGUUUUCUGAUUAAUGUAUCUACUGUAUUAACUCAAGAAAAAUCUUAGGAAAUUUCGAGGGAUGCCUCGACAAUGGAUACGUCCUUUGUACUGCCAACUCCUGGAUUCUCUGAAGGAAUGACUGCAGGGACCAUGCUACAAAACAUCUCCCCCAGGUUUACAUCUGUCAGCACCAUGAGCCCGCAACUAGUUGGCAACACUUCUCAUUGCAAGGGAAAGGAUUCCGUAAUGGAACCUAGUCCUUCUGUAUUUGUGCCAACUCCUGGAAUAGACAGACCAUGGUUCGAAAACUCAAUGCCUAAUGUAUCCGGUACCAGGUAUAUAAUCAACUUAUAAAUAAAUAAUCUGAAAUAUGAAUUUUUCUCUUUUUUUCUUAAUUAUUCUUUGAAUGGCUUUUGUAAUAAUCCUGCUUAUUGAGUUAUUGUGCCACAGCCACCAGCAGCAUCAAGCUUCUGCGCAGUCCUCGUUGCUGGUUUCAGGGGUAUGAAUACAGUCUUACAAAAUGUAAAAAUUAAUUCUACACAUGGGUGAAGUCUAAAUUAUUAUUUUAGCUGAGAGAUGAAGGCUAAAUUAAUAUUAUUAUGUUGCAGGUUGCUAGCAACCAAAAUUCUCAGGGAAGAUAUAGCAUCCAGAUGGAGCCAACUCUGCAAGUUCCAGGUCUAAAUUCUCCGUCAACAGGGUCAAGAAAUCCCAGUGCUGGUGCAUUUGAUUUUUUCAAAUACUAUUUUCGCGAUUAAGUUGGAUAAACGUUACCUAGCUAGUAGCUAGUAAUAAUUACCUUGAUAUGUUAAUCUUCAGGAUGAUAAUUUUUUUAUUUUUUGAGUUUGUGAUUCAAUUUUUUGGAUUUAAUUUUUAGACAACUAGUUGAGAAGCCGCGCGUUGCGGCGGCCUAUAAAAAUUUCAUUAAUGAUUCAAUAUUAAUAUUUGUAGAGUACAAUAAUUUUGUGGUUGUCUAUAAAAAGUAUAUUAAUGAUUUAAUAUUUGUAGGAUAAAAUAAAUUUUAUAAUAUAAAAUCUUGAUGUAAUACCAAUACUAAUAUAUAAAAUUGGACUAUAAUUCAUGGUGAAAAAAUGAAAAUAAAUUUCUACACGUAAUUAACAAUUUAAAACACGACGAAUCUUAAUUCGUGAUCAUGUUUUUACAUUGUCAUCUUCAUCCAAGUUUUUUGGAUUGAUUGUGCACAAAAACAUCUAACUUAAAUCUGUGAGAUAGCGGUUUAUAAGUACCCUUGCGUGUAACGACUUUUAUUUUUUCAUACUGUAUAAACAGCCUUCACUUAAAAGUUAUUUGAACGGAGCAAACACAUAAUGCAUGAAUAAUAUUUUCAUGUAUACAAAGUAAAUCAUAUAAAAAUUAACAACAACAAACAUGUCCGAUUAACAAAACAAAUAUUAUAAAAGAAUAACCAACAAACAUACAUCACUAAUAGUUAAUUUAUUAAUAUCAUCCAUCAAUAUCAGGUCAAGACUAUAUUCUUCUCCCGUGUUUGGAUUUGUCGACUCUCACAUAGCGGUCUAUACCUUUGCUUGCAACAACUUUUAUUUUUUUUAAUACCGUAUAAACAACCUUCAUUUAUGGUUGCAGAAGCACGGCACCACCGAGAACUAUCACCAGAGAGAGGUAGGAUUGUGGUAUUGAGAGAGAGUAGUGUUUAGAUGAUCCAAAACCCUACAACUUAUAGGGGUAUUUAUAGGUGCUGAGAGACUUGUGUGCUACUUUUUCCCAUAAUUAAAUAAUCUGAAACAAAAUCAAAUUAAAACUUUCAAGCUGCUAUAUUUCAUAAAUAAUCUGAAACAAAAUCAGCUUCUGAAACUUGCUUCUAAUAUAUCCGAGACUAAAAAAGGUAGUUCUAAUUUUUGAUAUUUUUCAUCCAAUAUAAUUACAUCCGUCAAACAUGUAUUAUAUAACUAUAUAAUAAUAAUUAAUAUAAAUAUAUAAUAUAUAUUUUUCCAUCUAUUUGUUUCAGACUGAAUUUAUUUACGUAAAAACGGACCAGAUGGAAAUUUAAUCCGGUGAGACCGAAAAUGUUGGGAGCCGUGUUUGGAUUUGUCGACUCCCACAUAGCGGUCCAUACCUUUGCUUGCAACAACCUUUAUUUUUUUAAUACCAUAAACAGCCUUCACUUAUGGUUGCAGAAGAACGACACCACCGAGAACUAUCACCAGAGAGAGGUAGGGUUGUGGCAUUGAGAGAGAGUACUUGUGUUUAGAUGAUCCAAAACUCUACAACUUAUAGCGGUAUUUAUAGGUGCUGAGAGACUUGUGUGCUACUUUUUCUCAUAAUCAAAUAAUCUGAAUCAAAUCAAAUUAAAACUUUCAAGCUGCUAUAUUUCAUAAAUAAUCUGAAACAAAAUCAGCUUCUGAAACUUGAUUCUAAUAUAUCCGAAACUAAAAAGGGUAGUUCUAAUUUUUGAUAUUUUUCAUCCAAAAAUUCCAGAAAAUUAGAAAAAUAGAACGGAGCGAUGUGAGAGGCGCCACCUACACGCCCCUCGCUUCUCCUUUAUAUAAGUAUAUUGAUGAUUGAUAGGCUUUGGCUAAACUUUUUUGCGCGCUUUAUAAAUUAAAAAUCAAUUUAUUCGUACAUAAAGAAGUUAUACGUGAUCAGAAUUCAAGAAUCUGAAAAUAAUCUUCUUUUAGUGAUUUUUCUUUUUCCAAAUUUUAAUUUAUAAAAUUAUAUUGAAACACUUUAAAAGAUAACUUAAAUUUUAUUAUUAUUUCAAUAAUUUUUAUACCUAAUAAAUCUUACCUAUCGAAAAAAUUUAUCAAAGCAUAUAUAGAACUAGUUGAGAAGCCGCGCGUUUCGGCGGCAUAUAAAAAUUAUAUUGAUGAUUUAAUAUUAUUAUUUGUAGAAUAAAAUAAUUUUGUGGCUGUUUAUAAAAAAUACAUUAAUGUUUCAAAAUUAAUAUUUGUAGGAUAAAAUAAAUUUAUAUUAUAAAAAUUUCGAUAUAAUACCAAUACUAAUAUAUAAUAUUGCAAAAUUGGACUAUAAUUCAUGGUGAAAAAUGAAAUACAUGUAUAAUUUUUUCCAGUAUACAAAGUAAAUCAUAUAAAAAUUAACAACAACAAACAUGUCCCAUGAACAAAACAAAUAUUAUAAAAGAAUAACCAACAAACAUACAUCACUAAUAGUUAAUUUAUUGAUAUCAACCAUCAAUAUCAUGUCAAGACUAUAUAUUGUUUUCCCGUGUUUGGAUUUGUCGACUCCAUUAUAGCGGUCUAUAACUAUCUUUGCUUGCAACAACCUUUAUUUUUUUUAAUACUGUAUAAACAGCAUUCACUUAUCGUUGCAGAAGAACGGCACGUCCGAGUUAGAAAUCGAGCAAGAGAACUAUCACCAGAGAGAGGUAGGGUUGUGGACUUGUGGUAUUGAGAGAGAGGAGGUUGUGUUUUGAUGAUCCAAAACCGUACAAUCUAUAGAGAUAUUUAUAGGUGCAGAGAGACUUGUGUGCUACUCUUUCCAAUAAUUAGAUAAUCUAAAACAAAAUCAGAUUAAAACUUUCAAGCUACUAUAUUCCAUAAAUAAUUUGAAACAAAAUCAGAUCCUGAAACUUGCUUCUAAUAUACCCAAAACUAAAAAAGGUAGUUCUAAUUUUUGAUAUUUUUCAUCCAAAAAUUCCAGCAAAAUAGAACGGAGCGAUGUGAGAGGCGCCACCUACACGCUCCUCGCUUCUUUAAAAAUCGAGCAAGAGAACUAUUACCAAAGAGAGAUAGGUUUGUGGUAUUGAGAGAGAGGAGGUUGUGUUUUGAUGAUGCAAAACCCUACAAUCUAUAGAGGUGUUUAUAGGUGCAGAGAGACUUAUAUGUUAUUCUUUCCCAUAAGUAAAUAAUCUGAAACAAAAUCAAAUUAAAACUUUCAAGCUACUAUAUUCCAUAAAUAAUUUGUCUUUCCCAUAAAUAAAUAAUCUAAAUAAUCCGAAACAAAAUCAGAUUAAAACUUUCAAGCUACUAUAUUCCAUAAAUAAUUUGAAACAAAAUCAGAUUCUGAAACUUGCUUCUAAUAUACCCGAAACUAAAAAAGGUAGUUCUGAUUUUUAAUAUUUUUCAUCCGAAAAUUUCAUAAAAAUAGAAAAAUAGAACAGAGCGAUGUGAGAGGCGCCACCUACACGCCCCUCGCUUCUCCUUUACAUAAGUAUAUUGAUUAUUAUUUAAUUUUUUUUUAUCACGAGAUACUUUCUCGUAUAAUGAAGAGAACUUAAAAAUUUAUAAACUUAAUAAACCAAUCAUUGACAUCAUGACAUUUUGGUCGGGCGUAAUUUACCUAGGCCCCUAUCGAGCCACUUACAUGCCUGGCUGGCUGGAUAGAUGAGUCCUGGGCUAACUCCUUUUAUGAUCGUGACGAGGAGGCACGUCUUUCCUUGUUACAAAAGAAGGGUUGUGACCCAUAAAACAUAAAACAUUUACUGAUGACAAAAUUUUCCGAACCGACGGAUAUCCGACCGAAUCGAUCUGAAUGAUUUUUACCGAACCCGAUUUUUAUGGUAUGGUUACGGGGUUGGUUUUUAUUUUUCAAAACCGAUUUAAUUUGGUUCGGGUUUGAUUUUUAGGCCAACCGAACAAAACCCCUGACCUGAAUAUCCAAAACCCGAACCAAACCGAAACCCGAACGAACCCGAUAGUAUGAAUCAUCAAUAUACUUAUAUAAAGGAGAAGCGAGGGGCGUGUAGGUGGCGCCUCUCAGAUCGUUCCGUUCUAAUUUUCUAAUUUUCUGGAAUUUUCGGAUGAAAAAUAUCAAAAAUUAGAACUAUCUUUUUUAGUUUCGGAUAUAUUAGAAACAAGUUUCUCUCCACCUAUAAAUAGCCCGCACGUUGGGCGGUCUAUAAAAAUUAUAUUAAUGAUUCAAAAUUAGUAUUUGUAAAAUAAAACAAAUAUGUGGCAGUUUAUAAAAUUUAUAUUAAUGAUUCAAAAUUAAUAUUUGUAAAAUAAAUUAGAUUAUAUAUUAUAAACAUCUCGAUACAAUACCAAUAUUAAUAUAUAAAAUUACAAAAUUGGACUAUAAUUCAUGAGUGAAAAAAUGAAAAUAAAUUUCUACAUAUAAUCAACGAUUUAAAGCAUGACGAAUCUUAAUUUUUGUUGUGUUUUUGUUUUCAAAAUAUAUGAAGGAGAAGCGAGGGGCGUGUAGGUGGCGCCUCUCACAUCGUUCCGUUCUAAUUUUCUAAUUUUUUGGAAUUUUCGGAUGAAAAAUAUCAAAAAUUAGAACUACCUUUUUUAGUUUCGGAUAUAUUAGAAACAAGUUUCAAAAUCUGAUUUUGUUUCAGAUUAUUUAUGGAAUAUAGCAGCUUGAAAGUUUUAAUAUGAUUUUAUUUCAGAUUAUUUAAUUAUGGGAAAUUGUAGCACACAGUCUCUCUGCACCUAUAAAUACCCCUUAUAGGUUGCAGGGUUUUUUUAUCAUCUAAACACAACCUACUCUCUCUCUCAAUACCACAACCCUACCUCUCUCUGGUGAUAGUUCUCUUGCUCGAUUUCUAACUCGGUGGUGCUGUUCUUCUGCAACGAUAAGUGAAGGCUGUUUAUACGGUAUUAAAAAAAAGUUGUUGCAAACAAAGGUAGUUAUAGACCGCUAUGUGGGAGUCGACAAAUCCAAACACGGGAGAAGAAUAUAGUCUUGACAUGAUAUUGAUGGAUGAUAUCAAUCAUUAAAUUAACUAUUAGUGAUGUAUGUUUGUUGGUUAUUCUCUUAUAAUAUUUGUUUUGUUCAUCGGACAUGUUUUUUGUUGUUAAUUUUUAUAUGAAUUAUUUUGUGCACAUGAAAAAUUAUUCAUGCAUUAUCUGUUUGCUCCGUUCAAGCAACUUUUAAGUGAAGACUGUUCAUACAGUAUUAAAAAAAAUAAAGGUUGUUACAAGCAAAGGUAGUUAUAGACCGCUAUCUCAUGAAUUUAAGUUAGAUAUUUGUGUGCACAAUCAAUCCAAAAACACAAAUAAAACUAAGAUUAAUUGGAGGAAGGUGACAAUGUAAGAACAUGAUUACUUUUCAAAAAAACAAAAACACAAAUAAAACUAAGAUUCAUCGUGCUUUAAAUUGUUAAUUAUGUGUAGAAAUUUAUUUUCAUUUUUUCAACAUGAAUUAUAGUCCAAUUUUUACACGUAAUUAACAAUAUUGAAUCAUUAAUAUACUUUUUAUAAACAGCCACAAAAUUAUUAUAUUCUACAAAUAUUAAUAUUAAAUUAUUAAUAUAAUUUUUAUAGGCCACCGCAACGCGCGGCUUCUCAACUAGUUUAUUUUAUAUCAUUAUAUAAUAUAGGUCAAGUUCUAUGAAGUACACAAUAAUAUUGGAGUACCAGUCACAAUUUUUUACUUUAGUCAUAAAUAAUAUCUUCGACUGUAAAUUUUUUUAAUAUAAUUUUUCAUUUAUAAGUACACUUAAACAUAACUAUCACUUAAUCAUUAAUAUAUUUCAACUUUAACAAGCAUUAAGAUUAUUGUUCUACUUGUGAAUUAUAUCGUAGAACAUAAUGUCCUCUAAUAGUUUUUUUUAAUGUUUUUUAUAUAAUUUUUGGGUUUCGGUUUAUACUAAACCGAACCGAACCGAACCGAAAACCGGUGAUUCGGGUUUGGUUUUUGAACUUCGAUUUCAGUUCGAUUCGGUUCAGGUUCGGUUUUGAAAAAUACUAUUCAGUUCGGGUUCGGUUUUUGUCAAAACUGAUUGCCAUCUCUAAAAACAUUGGAUCAGUUGGCAGGAUAGAGCUGGACAAUUUUUUAUGCUUGUGAAUGAAAAAAAAAUAGAACUGAUUAUACUCAUUUACAAUUUGUUUGCGUAGCUAAAAAUAUCGUUACUAAAUUGUUUGGACGCAAAAUGAAUAUUGUGAUUGUUAACCUCUGAAACACAAUGGGCAGAUCAAAGCUUUUACUAUAUCAUGGCCAGCUUGAAUGCUACAACACUAUUUUCUUCCAUUCCCUCUAAACCCUGUUCCUUACCAAAACUAAAAAAUCUCUACGUCCAUAUUGCCUUCUCUCCACCUUCAUCUUCUUCUUUUGGAGUGACUGCUUUCUCUGGAGUGACUUCUUUUUAGCUACGCAAACAAAUUGUAAAUGAGUAUAAUCAGUUCUAUUUUUUUUUUAUUCACAAGCAUAAAAAAUUGUCAUGAUGCUCUACCAGACUACCAGUACAGGAACAGUCAUAUUGUUGAACAAGCUAAUGAUCGCAUAUGGCCAGUUCAAGUAAAUGCACCAGAAGACUUUGGAAACUUUUAUAGUCGUGAUGCUUCCAGGUUUAAUUUUUUCGACAGGUGGGGCAAUCCUUUGCCUUCCAGUCCAAUGGUCUAUUUGGAUAACCCGCAUUUGAACACAAAUUUGCCUCUCUACGGAAUAGAGGAACAGAGAAGGGAGAAGCUGUUUCAUGGUUACCAAAGACCGAUCUCCUAUGGAUGUGUUACCGGGACAGACUUGGGAGCAGAGAAGCCACCACUUCUACAGUAUCUACAAGAAAGAGAAUGGCAACUACAAUGAGAGAAUAAACUGCGAAGUCCUCCCUACAUGGGGAACUAAGUUAAGGUACAUGAAGACUUCAAGACGUACUGACUUCAAUUCUAAGUCUAAAUGUUUAUUUGUACUUGGGUAAAUGAAGAUCCUGCAGGUUUUCAAGUGACAUUCUGGUUGAACUUAUAUUUGAAGAAGUGUGUAUUUCUUGUUUUUGUCCAAAAGCUACAAUGUUCUUGUGCCGAUCAGAUGGUUAUCAAAUAGACGAAAAAAAUAUGUAAUAUUUCUUUCAGAACUUAGUGAUGUAGAUUGAGGGAUAGUAGUAAAGGUUUAACGAUGUUCAUGCAGAUUGUGACUUGCCUGAAUUUGUAAAUAUUUUAUUUUUUUAUGAUCAAAUUUAACCGUUUGUGAGUGUCAAAACAUUUACCAUAUAAAGACUAAUAGGCUGGAAUAUUUUGUUGUAUUAUUUAUGGUAAUUUGGAUUUUUCUGAAGUCGUGUGAACACUUUCAGAUUGAAGUUAUUUGUGGUUCAUCAAAUAAUUUAAUCGGAUAAAGUCAGAAAUUCUGCAAGAAGAGAGAAUGUGUAUCGAUUGAAGUUAUUUGUGGUUUAUCAAAUAAUUCAAUCGGAUAAAGUCAGAAAUUCUGCAAGAAAAGAGAAUGUGUAUCGUUGUGUAUUUCAAAUGAACCAUCACUUUGAAAUGAUCAAUGCAACAUCUAUAUAUAUGAUGUCAAUAGAUGUGUAUUUUAAUAAUAGACACAUCUUAAUCCAAAUAGAUUUAUCUAAUGGCAAUAGACACAUCUUAUCCCAAUAGAUGUGUCUAAUGUAAAUGAAAAAAUCUAAUGUCAAUAGACACUUUUUUUCCAAUAGAUGCGACUAAUGCCAUUGUUAAUGCUACAAAAUAUAUUUACUCAGGUUAGAAGUAUGUUUUGACAAUAUUUGUAUAAAUACUACCAAUAUUUGUCAUAGACUUGCUGUCUAAUUCGAGAGGAGAAACAUAAGGUACAAAUCAGGGGGACUGUAAGGUAAGCCGACUAAUUUUCUUAUAUUCACUAGAAUAAUUGAUUAAACACUAUACAUUUGAUAUAUGAUCACAUUGGUCAUACUCUAUGCUCGAUAUAAACGUGCCUGCAGUGCUGGCCAUUUUUAUUAUAUUUCGGUUAAAAUAUUCUUCCGUCUGAGUUGUCCGAAUGUUGGGGUUCAAGUACUACAAAAAAACUUAAAAAUGUGAGCAAUAGCCUUUAGCUAUUCACAUGUAAAUGCUAGUCAAUUAUGGCUUUCAUGCAUGUCCGGCCAAAAAAAUAUCAUACCCAACAAUGAUAAUAAUUGGAUUAUUCUACCUUUAUAGCGUCACUAAAGUUUAUUCUUAUGUAAUUCUUCAGUUUCAAGAAAGUAAAACCUUUUGCUUUGCAAUUGCAUGAUUAGUGUUCACGUUUUGUACACAAUAUGCUCACUACUAUCAGUUUCCCUUAACAUCACACUUUUCAUUAUUUUUUUCCUGGUCCGUUCAUAAAUUUUUGUCUACUUUUCCAGUAUAAAUACAGUGUGGCACAUUGUUUCAUCUCACAUUGUUUUUUUUUAUUUGGUAAACUGGUGUCCGGGCCAGUUUGCGCGCACCAGCUAUUUGGUGAAAAUGGAUUUUGGGGAUAAAGAUACUCAUAGAAUGUAAGCUAUUCUCUAUCUGUAGUCAGUGUUGGGUUAAUAUUGCUGCUUUUUCUAAAUUAUUUCUUUUUACAGUUCGAUUUUCGAAUUUUCAGGCUGAUGCUAUACAUUCACGAUCAUAUGAGAAAAAAUAACAUGCACGAGGCAGCUAAGAUAUUUGCAGAAGAGGCAAAUCUUGAGCUAAACCCGGGUCAGUAUUUUAAUUUUUUUUCAUUAAUUCAACAUUUCAUGUAAUUUCUUAACUGGUUUUUUGUCUUCUUGAGGCAUGCAGUACUGAAAUUCGUUAAAUUUGAUUUUCUGAAAUAUUUAUUUGAUUUAUAAUUAAGUGAUCGAUGCUCCUGGAGGCUUUCUAGCUGAAUGGUGGGAAGUGUUUUGGAACAAGUACUUCUCCAUCUAUUCCAACAUCCCAGGAUGUGAGGUAAAAUCCUCAACUAGUUUUCUGAUUAAUGGAUCUACUGUAUUAACUCAAGAAAAAUCCUAGGAAAUUGCGAGGGAUGCCUCGACACUGGAUAUGUCCUGUGUACUGCCAACUCCUGGAUUCUCUGAAGGAGUGACUGCAGGGACCAUGCUACAAAACAUCUCUCCCAGGACCAUGAGCCAGCAACUAGUUGGCAGUACUUCUCAUUGCAAGGAAAAGGAUAUCGUAAUGGAACCUAGUCCUUCUAUAUUGGUGCCAACUGCUGGGAUAGAAAGACCAUGGUUCGAAAACUCAAUGCCUAAUGUAUUCAGUACCAGGUACUUGCUCCACCUAUAAAUAAUCUAACGGAAAAUGCUUCAUGCACAAAAUUGGGUACUUCUCAAUGGUGGAGGCACCUAUGGGCCAGGGUAGGUUUGGGCCCUCCCCGGAAAUUGGGACUGAAAUAUUUUUCUCAUUUUUUGCUUAAGCCCAGUCCAGUUUUCCAGAUAUAUGUGUUGUGGCACGCUGAAAUCUUGUAAAAACAACGUGCAGGCUCUCAAAUUUCAUUUAGAAAAGCAAGAGAGCACUGAGCAAGAGAGAAAUAUCUGUGUUUUUUAUGAUUUUUCUUUUUGCAUUUUUCUACUCAUAGUUGGGAAAAAAAAUUACUGUAUAUUUUAGCCCUCCCUCAUAUAUUCCUGGCUCCGCCACGGGUACUUCUUAUGGCGCAAUAUUAAGUUGUCUUUGCGUAUGUUCUUGAUUCUUCCUUGAUCGGUGUGAGGUUUUAUCAGAUACAGUCUGUUGGUUUCUUUAGUUGUUUUUUAUAUUUAUUUUCUUAUAUUAUUGAGAAUGACAUCAAUAAGUUGACACACUUGAAUUAGUUCAGUUCUGUGUGCGCCUAUCGAAUUUCUAAUAAACCUGCUUAUUGUGCCACAGCCACCAACAGCAACGAGCUUCUACCCAGUCCUCAUUGCUGCUUGCAGGGGUAUGAAUACAGUCUUUGUACACUAUAUAUAGCUGAGCCUACUAAAUUUAAAAAAUGCUUCACAUGGAUAAAGUCUUAAUUAUUUUUAUAGCUGAGGGAUGAAGGCUAAUUAAUAUUAUUGUGUUGCAGGUUGCUAGCAAUCAAAAUUCUGAGGCAAGACCUAGCAGCCAGAUGGAGCCAACUCUGCAAGUACCAGGUCUAAAUUCUGAUCAGUCAACAGGGUCAAGAAAUCCCAGUGCUGGUGCAUUUGAUUUUUUCAAAUACUAUUUUCGCGAUUAAGUUGGAUAUGUCAAUCUUCAGGAUGAUAAUUUUUUAUUUCUUGAGUUUGUAAUUCAAUUUAUUGGAUUUAAUUUUUAGACAACAGGCUCUGGCUAAACUCUUUUACCCGCUUCUAAUCUAUUACUCCCUCCGUCCCAAAAAGAUUGAACUGCUUUGACUUUCACGGAGAUUAAAAAAAAGGUAGUAAAAGAAAUUAAAUUAGUUGAAAAGUUGGUAAAAUGAUGGGACCCGUCAAAAUUUUAAUAAUAGAUUUGAGAUAGUGGAGGAAAGUAGUGGGUGUAAUAGUGUUUAUAGUAUUAUAGAAAAGAGAUAGUGGAAGAACUAAUGGGUGUAAUAGUAAAAAGUAGUGUUCAAAAAUAAUAAGUGUAAUAAGUUCAUUCUUUUUGGGACGUCCCAAAAGGAAUCCCAAAAGGAAUAAGUGUCAAUUAAAAUGGGACGGAGGGAGUAUAUAUCUAAUUGAACAACCUUGGGUAAAUUAAUUCAAUAUGACUAAUAUACUCUUUACUUAUUACACAUAGUUUAAUAUAUAUAAAGGUUAUUAUUGACUUUUAAUACUAACGUACUUAUUAUACAUUAAUGUCUAAGCAUUAAUAUACAUUAAUUAUAACAUGAUCAUUAUAUGGAAUUAUUUUAAUAUUAUACAUAUAAAUAUCAUCAUAUUGAGGAUAUAUGUACAUUUAGACAUCAAGAUAAUAUGACUUAAAAUAAAAAUAAAUAUUAAAUUUAAAUUAUUUUCAUAAUAUAAAUAAUCUUAAUUUUUAGAAAAAUGAAUAAAAGAUAUAAAAAUAUAUAUAUAUAUAUAUCAAAAAAAUAAUUUAAAGCAACCCGUGCUUUGCACGGGUUAAGAAGCUAGUUCAUAAGUAAAAUUCAAGUUAUUCAUACAUAAAGAAGUUAUAUAAGUGAUCAGAAUUCAAGAAUUUGAAAAUAAUCUUUUUUUAGUGAUUUGUUUUUCAAAUUUUGAUUUAUAAAAAUAUAUUGAAACACUUUAAACGAUGGCUUAUAAUAUAUUAUUGUUAUCUUGAUAAUUUUUAUAUCUAAUAUGUUGUAGACAUGGAAAAAAUUUAUCUAACCACACAAAAAACAUUUUACUAUGACUUAAUUUGUUGACAUCAUUUUGUGGUUGAUAUCAAAACAUUUUAUUAUGGUGGCCCGGCCCUAUCGAGCCAGUUACAUGCAUGGCUGGGCUGGAUAUAUCGGGUUCGGAUCGGAUCAGCCUGAAUCUAUAUCCAUAUCCAUUUAUUUUAUCGGAUUCGGAUUUGGAUCGGAUUGGGACCGGAUUUUUUAUAGGCCGAUCCAAAUCCGGAUCCGUUAGGAUCACGGAUCACGGAUCAGAUAUCCGGAUCCAUUUAACUUCUUAUGAUUUUCUUUGACUGGGGUUGAUAUAAUAUGCAGAGAGAUAUCAUUUUGUAAUGAAAAUAUCAAGUUGUAAUCUCUGACAAUAGCUUAACAAAUUAACAAUAGACCUAGUUUAAAUCCAUGUACAAGCAAUUUUUAAUUUUCUGUCACCACUAAAGAAAACAUGUAAAAAAUAUGCAUGUGCUCAACAAUCUUUCAAAUAAUAUAUUUGUACAGUUGAUAUGGACUGGGCCUAUGAAUUUGUACAGUUGAUUUUAUUAAAUAACCUGUCUUUAGGUUGUAAAAAUUUAUUAGGAAUAGGGAUAAAAUAUAUUAUUAUGUAAUAUAUAAUAUAUAUCUAUAUUAUAUAAAUAUAUUAACCGGAUCGGGUUAUAAACGGAUCGGAUCACACUAAAUCCAUAUCCAAUCCAUUUAUAAUCGGAUCAAAUUUCGGAUCGGAUAUUUUUUUGUUAAAUCCAUAUCCGCUAAAAUGACCUCGGAUCGGAUCGGGUCGGAUCGAAUUUUCGCUCCAUUGACAGGCCUAGCUGGAUAGAUGAGUUCUGGGCUAACUCCUUCUAUGAUCGUGAUGAGGAGGCACGUCUUUCCUUGUUAUAAAAGAAGGGGUCUAAUAUUGAACCAGGUGGCAGGAUAGAACAGGACAGGAGACUUCAUAUUUAUUUUUAUUUUUUUAAGGUCUACAUAUUUGUAGAUGAAUUAUACCGAAAUACAAUAAAUCGCAUCUGAGAUUUCUUUCUUUCAAGAAAAUUUAUCAUCUAACCGAAAGUCAUGCAAGUAUAAUUCCGGAUGUUUAGACAAUAAAGGUUAAAUGAAUAAUAAAAGAAAGCCCAUAAGUCCCGUAACUUCCAAAAUAUCCUGAAAAAACAAACUAAACAACACAUAAAUCAACAUACAAUAAAAUCACACAUAUAUAAAUUUAGUUAAAGUGAAUAUAGAAAAUCUAAUAAAAAGCAAAACAAAAAUAUAUAUAAAAAAUAGAUAGAAAAUAAAAUAAUAUAGAAAUAUUAAUUAAUUUCUAACCAAAGGAAAAUCUUUUGGUUAGACACAUAAAAAUUAAAAUUUAAGCGAGGAAUAGAAACAAAAGAUAAAAUAUAAUUAAAUAUAUUAAAUAUAAUGAUCAUCAAAAUAGUCAAUAAGUCAUAAAAGUGGCAUCUAUAACUGGAACAAAAGGCCACUAAAAGCACAAUAAAGUCAUCAUUAAUGACUCCAUAAAUGGUUUUUUAAAUUUUCAAUCUUUGAAACUUAACAAAAGUAAUCAAUUUCCAAAUUAAGAAGGUAUUUGAUUAAAACUUAAGAAAAGUUGACCAAUUUUCCUAAAUAUACAAACAACACAUUUCAUAGACAUGACUUAGAGUCUUAGAUCAUAUCCUGCUGGGCCUCCUUCGCUGAGUGGUUGGGUGUUCAACAGAGAAAGUAUGCAUGCUGAUAGUGAUAAAGGACCAAAGGCAUUUCAUAGAAAUGACUUAGAUCCGAUUGCAGAAAUGCCUACUGCAUCGCUUAGUGGCCUAUCUGUCAAUGAAAAAGUUUUUUCUCCAACUACCUAUAACCCUUCUCCUCUGUAUGUGGCUCCAGUGCCUUCAGCACCACAACUACCCGCUGAUGCAAAUUGGUUGAAGGGCCAUUCAUCAAAUUUUCCGGAGUCUAAAACUUGAGCUAAAAUCAGAGAAGCCGAAGGAAUAUUAGGUCCAACACCAACCUCUAGGUACCCAACCCUGUCUCCUACUCAUGGACCAUUUAGCCCACGGCUUGCAAAUUUUAUUGAUGGCUAUCCACCACUUCUUGGUAUGAGCUCAUCCGAAUGGCUCUACCAAUACAGGAACAGUCAUAUUGUUGAACAAGCUAAUGAUCGCAUAUGGCCAGUUCAAUUAAAUGCACCAGGAGACUUUGGAAACUUCUAUAGUCAUGAUGCUUCCAGGUUUGAGUUUUUCGACAGGUGGGGCAAUCCUUUGCCUUCCAGUCCGAUGGUCUAUUUGGAUAACCCGCAUUUGAACACAAAUUUGCCUCUCUACGGAGUAGAGGAACAAAGAAGGGAGAAGUUGUUUCAUGGUUACCAAAGACCGAUCUCCUAUGGAUGUGUUACCGGGACAAACUUGGGAGCAGAGAAGCCACCACUUCUACAGUAUCUACAAGAAAGAGAAUGGCAACUACAACGAGAGAAUAAACUGCGAGGUCCUCCCUACAUGGGGAACUAAGUUAAGGUACAUGAAGACUUUAAGACUGACUUCAAUUCUAAGUCUAAAUGUUUGUUUGUACCUGGGUAAAUGAAGGUCCUGCAGGUUUUCAAGUGACAUUCUGGUUGAACUUAUAUUUGAAGAAGUGUGUAUUUCUUGUUUUUGUCCAAAAGCUACAAUGUUCUUGUGCCGAUCAGAUGGUUAUCAAAUAGGCAGAAAAAAAUAUGUAAUAUUUCUUUCAGAACUUAGUGAUGUAGAUUGAGGGAUAGUAGCAAAGGUUUAACGAUGUUCAUGCAGAUUGUGACUUGCCUAAAUUUGUAAAUAUUUUAUUUUUUUUAUGAUCAAAUUAAACCGUUUGUGAGUGUCAAAACAUUUACCAUAUAAAGACUAAUAGGCUGGAAUAUUUUGUUGUAUUUAUGGUGGUAACUUCGAUUUUUCUGAAGUCGUGUGAACACUUUCAGAUUGAAGUUAUUUGUGGUUCAUCAAAUAAUUCAAUCGGAUAAAGUCAGAAAUUCUGCGAGAAGAGCGAAUGUGUAUCGAUUGAAGUUAUUUGUGGUUUAUCAAAUAAUUCAAUCGAAUAAAGUCAAAAAUUCUGCAAGAACAAAGAAUGUAUAUCGUUGUGUAUUUCAAAUGAACCAUCACUUUGAAAUGAUUAAUGCAACAUCUAUAUAUAGAUGUCAACAGAUGUGUCUGUUGAUAAUAGACGCAUCUUAAUCCAAAUAGAUUUGUCUAAUGGUAAUAGACACAUCUUAAUCCAAAUAAAUUUGUCUAAUGUAAAUGGACAAAUCUAAUGCUAAUAGACACUUUUUUUCCAAUAGAUGUGUCUAAAUACUUUCUUGUUAAUGCUACAAAAUAUAUUUACUCAGGUUAGAAGUAUGUUUUGACAAUAUUUGUAUAAAUACUACCAAUAUUUGUCAUAGACCUGCUGUCUAAUUCGAGAGGAGAAACAUACGGUACAAAUCAGAGGAACUGUAAGGUAAGCCGACUAAUUUUCGUAUAUUCACUAGAAUAAUUGAUCAAACACUAUACAUUUGAUAUAUGAUCACAUUGGUCAUUCUCUAUUCUCGAAAUAAAUGUGCCUGCAGUGCUGACAAUUUUUAUUAUAUUUCGGAUAAAAUCUUCAGUCUGAGUUGUCCGAAUGUUGGGGUUCAAGUAAUACAAAAAACUUAAAAAUGUGAGUAUACAUAUAUCUCUAGCAUAGCCUUUAGCUACUCACAUGUAAAUGCUAGUCAAUUAUGGCUUUCAUGCAUGUAUGGCCAAAAAAAUAUUAUAGCUAACAAUGAUAAUAAUUGGAUUAUUCUAGCUUUAUAGCGUCACUAAAGUUUAUUCUUAUGUAAUUCUUCAGUUUCAAGAAAGUAAAACGUUUUGCUUUGCCUGAUUAGUGUUCACGUUUUGUACACUAUAUCUUCACUCCUAUCAGUUUCCCUUAACAUUAGGGGUGGCAAUUUCGGGUAAUGGGCCGGGUUCGUGUCGGGUUGGAGGUACCUGGUUUUUUUUAAUCCCGACCCGAACCCGACCCGAACCCGAAACGGGUUGAAAAAUUGUGACCCGAACCCGAACUGGUAGGUACUUGAAUUACCCGAAACUUACCUGUUUAACCCGAAAUUCAGAAUCAAUCAGUGAGACAUGAACAGAAACAAGAGAGCAGAUACAAAGCUCAGAACCAAGAGUAAAAAUACAAAUCACUCCGCUCAACAUUAUGCUUAUGUAAUGAGUGCAAGCUGACAUUAAAAUUCUGAAAUAUCAGCACAUCUCAAACUUCUACAACAUCGUCAUCAGUGUUUGUGUUUGGUUCCGCGGGAGGGUCGAUCUUGGGCAGGUGGUCAGCAACAUUCGAGAGGUAAGCUUUAGAGAGAGAGAGAGGUGUAUUUAUACCUUUGAAGAUUUGUCGUGCUUGGGUUUGAUUCGAUUUGUUGUGCUUGGAUUUGAUGUGAAAGAGGCGAAAUAAUGCAGUCGUCGCGUGGAAAAAAAACAAAAAUGAAAGAGGGAAGAGGCGGAGGCAGUGAUUAUAGACUUACAAUAUUAGUUUUAGAGGGGUGUAUUCGAUUGGGAUUUUAAUAGAUUGUUUUUAGUCUGUGGAUUUUAAUGGAUUGUGUCUGAUUUUGAUUUUGUGCGGAUUCUUGGUAAAAUGUCGCAGAGUUGAUAGGAUUUAAGCACAAUGCUUCAAAAUCUCAUUGAUUUUGAUGGGAUUUCAAAAAAUUUAAAAUACACUGAAGAAUGUCACAAAAUCCAUCAUUUUAUGAAAUGCAAAAAAAUCCAUCAGCAUUUGAAUACCAUCAGAUUUUAAUGGAUUUUAAACAAUCUCAAUUGAAUACCAUCGGAUUUUAAAGCAUAAUUUAAAAUCCCAAUUGAAUACCACCAGAUUGUGUAGCAUAAUUUGAAAUCCCAAUUGAAUACCUCAAGAUUUUAAUGGAUUUCAAACAAUCCCAAUCGAAUACCCUCGGAUUUUAUGAAUUCAAAAAAAUGCUUUAAAAUCCCAAUCCAAUACACCCCUUAGGGUUUGAUUUUUAAAUCCAUGGACUGGGCCUUAGUGGUGGCGUGCGGGUUGAAUUGGAAACCUGGAACUCUCGAUGCUUCGAGUCCGGAAGAUCCAAUGUAUAUGUUAUUUAUAAUAUAUAUGAUAUAUAUAAAAAUAAACAGGUCGGGUUCGGGUAUUUCGGGUCAACCCAAAAAUGACCCGAUUUUUUCGGGUAAAUUUUUACCCAACCCGAACCCGACGCGAAAGUCAAAAACCCCGACCCUAAUUCGAAUUUUUUCGAGUCGGUUUCGGGUCGUGUUUCGGGUCGUGUCGGAUUUUGUCACCCCUACUUAACAUCACAGUAUCACACUUUUUCAAUAUUUUUUUCAUGGUCCGUAUAUAAACUUUUGUCUCCUUUCCAAGUAUAAAUACAGCGUGGCACAUUGUUUCAUCUCACAUUGUUUUUUUUUAUUUUGUAAACCGGUGUUCGGGCCGGUUUGCGCGCAGCUGCUAUUCGGUGAAAAUGGAUUUUGGGGAGGAAGAUACUCAAAGAAUGUAAGCUAUUCUCUAUCUGUAGUGAUUCUUUUCCACAUAAGGUGUUGGGCUAGUGUUGCUGCUUUUUCUACAUUACUUCCUCUUAGAGUUGAUGAUUUUUGAAUUUUCAGGCUGAUGCUGUACAUUCACGAUCAUAUGAGAAAAAAUAACAUGCAUGAGGCUGCUAAGAUAUUUGCCGUAGAGGCAAAUCUUGAGCUAAACCCAGGUCAGUAUUUUAUUUUUUUCCAUUAAUUUGUAGUCAGCCAUACAUUUAACAUUUCAUGUAUUUUCUUCAUGCAGUACUGAAAUUUGAUAAAUUAUGAUUUUGUGAAAUAUUUAUUUGAUUUUCUUUUAAGUGAUCGAUGCUCCUCAAGGCUUUCUAGCUGAAUGGUGGGAAGUGUUUUGGAACAAGUACUUCUCCAUCUAUUCCAACAUCCCAGGAUGCGAGGUAAAAUCCUCAACUUAUUCGAAUAUGUAUUUGAGUCACGUGUAUUAAUCUUAGGUUGUGUUCACUUGGAUUGAAUAGAAUGGGGGGAAUGGAAUGAAUUUUGUACUCUGAAAUAGGGUUGAUUAGAGAAAAUGCCUAUAUAUUUCAUUUCUUCGAUCAUUCCAUUCGUAUGAUUUUAACUAGAAAAGGAAUGUUCAUUCCAUUUCAACAUCAUCUUUCCUUACAAUCUUUAUCACUAAAUAUCUAAACUAGCUCAUUCAUAUUGUCACUACUAUCUCAUUCUUUCUUCUUUCUCCAUAAAAGUUCUAUAUAAUAUUUGAUUUCAUUAUCACCUCAUUCCAUUCCAUCCAAGUGAACACAGCCUCAGUUUUCUGAUUAAUGUGUCUACUGUAUUAACUCAAGAAAAAUCCUAGGAAUCUCGAGGGAUGCCUCGACAUUGGAUACGUCCUUUGUACUGCCAACUCCUGGAUUCUCUGAAGGAAUGACUGCAGGGACCAUGCUACAAGACAUCUCCCCCAGGUUUACAUCUAUCAGCACCAUGAGCCAGCAACUAGUUGGCAAUACUUCUCAUUGCAAGGGAAAGGAUAUCGUAAUGGAACCUAGUCAUUCUGUAUUGUGCCAACUCCUGGAAUAGACAGACCAUGGUUCGAAAACUCAAUGCCUAAUGUAUCCGGUACCAGGUAUAUAAUUAACUUACAAAUAAAUAAUCGGAAAUAUGAAUUUUUCAGUUUUUUUUCUUAACUAUUCUUUGAAUGGCUUUUGUAAUAAUCCUGCUUAUUGUGCCACAACCACCAGCAGCAUCAAGCUUCUGCGCAGUCCUCAUUGCUGGUUUCAGGGGUAUGAAUACAGUCUUACAAAAUGUAAAAAUUAAUUCUACACAUGGGUGAAGUCUAAAUUAUUAUUUUAGCUGAGGGAUGAAGGCUAAAUUAAUAUUAUUAUGUUGCAGGUUGCUAGCAAACCAAAAUUCUCAGGGAAGAUCUAGCAGCCAGAUGGAGCCAACUCUGCAAGUACCAGGUCUAAAUUCUCCGUCAACAGGGUCAAGAAAUCCCAGUGCUGGUGCAUUUGAUUUUUUCAAAUACUAUUUUCGUGAUUAAGUUGGAUAAACGUUACCUAGCUAGCAGCUAGCUACACUACACCAUAUUUGACCUGUUGCAACGGCAUGUUGCAAAAAAUGUUGCUAUAGGCCAAAAAAUAGCUACUCUAUUGUAAUAAUUUUUGAAAAUGUUACCUAAAAUUGAAAAGUGUUGCAUGCUUGGUAAUUUUUAGUGAGAGUUAAAAAAGUUGAUGCCAAUUGUAACACUUUACUUAAACUUACAGUUGUUUGCAACAUUUUUGUCAAGUGGAAUAAAAAAUUAGGCGGGCUUCUUCUUUUUUUCAGUGGCGGGUACCAAAACAGUUACCCAAAAACAAACACCCCAAAACAAACAUUUCACUUUCAAAAAACAAAUAUCUCCUCUUCUCCUUUGUAUAUCCAUUUUGUUAUCAUAGCCAAAUCCAUGUGCUGCAAUAGAGUAUUAAUAAACAAAAUUAUACUAUUUAAUUAUGAAUUUCAAAUUUACACAUUUAUUGACUUUGACACUAAUCAAUAUUCAAUUUAAAAAUAUAUAUAAGGUCGUCCAAGGAAAUAAAUAUUUAUAUAUUUUAAAUAUUGUAAAAAUAUUUAAUUAUUUUUAAAUAAGUUUAAAUUUUUUUAAAAAAAUAAUUUUAAAAUGAUCUUAUCAUCCAACUUAAUGUAAUUAAUAUGGAUAAAAUUAAUUGUAAAAACAUUCUAAUUAGCAAAUAAUUGAUUAAUUUAUUUUUAUAAAUAUUAAAAUAUUAGAUUUUAUAUUAGUAUUAAUGGUUAACUUAUUUUAAUAAAUAUUAAAAAAUUUAAAACAGCAUGUACCGUAAAAUAGUAAUUUUUUUAUAAAAUUAAAUAAAUUUUACGAGUUGCCGGCGUGCACACUUAAUAAAAAAUUAAAUAAAUUUCCCCCCUUAAUCAAUUUCACAACUCCCGCUUUGUAACAUUUUCUAAAAAUAAAACAUUAAGUUUAACAGGUUUAAAACAUAAACAUUAGACAAAAAACAUUAAAACAUAUAAGCUGCCCUUCUUUUCUCAUUCUUCUAUUUGUUCAUACAAGCUCCGAUGCGAUCAUUCUGGUUGAGUAAAAACUCAUACAAGCUCUUAUGGUCAAUUAGAAGGUCAUACAAGCUCCGAUUUGUUUCCUUUAGAGUUUCGAUUGUUCGAUUUGCUGGUACAAACUCAUAAAACCUCCGGGUAUGUCAUUGUCUGGGUCUUUCUUGCAUAGAUUUGUUUCUUUGUGUCAAGGAUGUCUGUGUCUAAGAACUCAAUAUUUCAAUUACCUUCCUUUUGUGUUAUUUUGGUUAGUUUUCUCAAGUGGGUCAAUUUUUUCGAUGGGGUCAUGUGGGUGUAAGAGGGUCAAGUGGGUUUCGACCGGACUUUAAAGCUUAAAGUUCAAGCGGGUUUUCAUUGGAGUUUGGAGUUGUUUUUUGUGAUUGUAAUUUGGAUGUUUGGGUUUUGCUUAGUAGCGAGGUAACCAAAGCAAGGUAUUAUUCUUUUCUGUUACUUCGUUGCUUAGUCAUUCUUUUUUAGUACUUGGUUGCUUAGUGUAUUGCUUGCUUGGAACUUUGCUCGUUUUUGCUUUAUUAGUGAGUAUGUGUAUGUGUUUGUCUGUUUUAAUGUAUAAAGAUGUCAUGCCUGUUUGUUAUUCUGUCAUAUGCCUGAUCCACAUGCCAAAUUGAGUUUUAUUAUAGUGACCUUUAUUUGUUUUUUUUUUACUUUUGGAAAUAGUUAGAUAGUAAAAUGGUUAAUUGGUUGUGAAAGAGCAUAUGUCAAGCUGUGUGUUGGUAUUUUCACUUUGACAGAAUUUUAAACACUAUGCUGUAGGACAAGAUUUAAUAAAAAAGAAAACAAUAAUGAGAAAUUGAGAACUAACUGAAACAAGGAAAAUUUAAGUUGAUUCUCUCAUCCAUCACACAUUGUGUUAAUAUUAAAAAACCAUUUACAUAUGUUAGCUUAUAAUAAACCUGAGAUGAAUGACAUAAAUUGUAUCAGGCUAUAAAGGAGGAGCUGUCUUCUUUAGAAUUGCUGCCAGAAGAAGAGCUUGAUGCACACAAUGCCACCAAGAUGGUGUUUUAUUUAUACAUAUCUUUUUAUAUUUAAUUUUCUAAUCUUGUUUGUAUAUGUUCAUUAUUGAUUGUUUACUCACUUUUACUCUCUGUUUACUUAGCCUAUGUGUGAUAAAAGCUAACCAUUACGUACAAACAACUUUGAAACUUACUUUAAUACUAGUAGUAGAACUUAAAGUAGUUACUUUUAAAUAUAAUGCAGGUUACUAGACUUGUAAAAGAAGAUCACUGGUGAUUGCACUAAAGGUGGCAUUCUCAAUGCUUCAUAUGGGUACAUACGGGGGCAUGAAGGGAAAAGUAUAUGUAGCUCGUACAUUCAUGAGGUAUAAAAACUAAUUUAUUAUUUCUUUUUAUCAUAUAUAUUUGCUGAUACUUAUCCCAUCAGCUUUGAUUAGAGAUACAGAACCUAACUAGAUGGGGAGGUGCACUACAAUUAUGUUGUGAUUCUCUAUAUUUGCUACCCAUCCAUAGUAGAAUAAGGGCUACGUCUACGGAAAAUGGUACACAAAUCAAUCUACCUCAUUUUUUAAUUAUUUACCUUUGAUUAUAUUGCAUAGUAGUACUUAUGUAAGACUAUCUCAUUAUUGCAGGCUACUAAAAUUAGUGUAGGAGUUGAUGUUUGCAUGGUUAAUGAAAGAGGCUUCUAUUUCAACCUUGCAGAAGUUCAGAAACCUCUUUAUGCUAAUAGGACUAAUUUAAGUAUGAAUGGGUCAUGUGCACAAGGUACAUGUAACAUAUAUAACUAAAUUGUCGACAAACAUAUGUAGUAUUUGUACUUAUAGAAUUUAAAUUUUGUUCCUGUUAUUGCCUUGCAGUCUAUUAAACUACACUUAUGCAGAUGAAAAUAUAGAAUGCAGCUUUUAGUCACUUUAGAACGAGGAGGAUGGGAAUGCAGCUGCUCAACAUAGUGAUGAAUGAAGAUUUUUAGUCACUUUUUAUUAUUACUUCUUCAUCUAUUCUUGCUUUUAGAUUGACUUUUAUAAGGAUGGUUUAUAAAUUGGUACAUUAGUCCGGUUUCUAUGUAUCUUUCAACUUGAUGACUCGGUUUGUACUUUGUAUUUUCUUUUGGUUAAUUUCAAGUCAAGAAAAUUUCAGGGUACUAUUGCAUUUAUAUAGUAUCAUUGUAAAUUAAGCCUUAAAAGUAUUGCAACAGAAUACAUAAUGUUGCCAAAAAAUUUAAAAGCAUUAUGUGUUACCAAAAAACUAAAAGUAUUGCAAUUGGUUUAAUAUUGUUGCACAAAACUGUUACAACAAAAUUUCAAAUUAUUGGUAUGCAACAGUUUUUAAGUAUAUAGUGUUACAAAGAAAUGUUACAGUAAAUUUAUUGUAACAGUAUAAAAUUGUUACCAAAGGCCUCGAAAAUGUUGCAAUAGAUUACAAUUGAAAGUCUAUUGCAAUACCUCAAUAAUGUUGCAAGAAACCAAAUAUAUGUUGCAACAGGGUUCUCUUGCAACGGCAGCAAAUGCAACACCGAAUUUUGGCAAAAAUGUUACUAAAAUGUCUAUUGUAACAGUUUUAGGCCCUAAGGCUACAUUUUUCAGCCGUUGCAACAGGUGAAAUAUGAUGUAGUGCUAGUAAUAGAUAACCUUGAUAUGUUAAUCUUCAGGAUGAUAAUUUUUUUAUUUUUUGAGUUUGUGAUUCAAUUUAUUGGAUUUAAUUUUUAGACAAUAGGCUUUGGCUAAACUUUUUUGCGCGCUUUAUAAAUUAAAAAUCAAUUUAUUCGUACAUAAAGAAGUUAUACGUGACAGAAUUAAAGAAUUUAAAAAUAAUCUUCUUUUAGUGAUUUUUCUUUUUCCAAAUUUUAAUUUAUAAAAUUAUAUUGAAACACUUUAAAAGAUAACUUAAAUUUUAUUAUUAUCUUAAUAAUUUUUAUACCUAAUAAGUGGUAUCUAUCGAAAAAAUUUAUCAAAAUACAUAUAGAUUUAUUAUUCUUUUUUUGUCACAAGAUACUUUCUCGUAUAACUAAGAGAACUUGAAAAUUUAUAAACUCAAUAAACCAAUCAUUGACAUCAUAACAUUUUGUUCGGGCAUAAUUUACCUAGGCCCCUGUCGAGCCACUCACAUGCCUGGCUGGCUGGACAGAUGAGUUCUGGGCUAACUCCUUCUAUGAUCGUGACGAGGAGGCACGUCUUUCCUUGUUAUAAAAGAAGGGUCGUGACCCAUAAAACAUUUACGGAUGAUAAAAUUUUCCGAACCGACGGAUAUCCGAUUGAAUCGAUCUGAAUGGUUCUUACCGAACCCGAUUUUUAUGGUAUGGUUACGAUUUUGGUUUUUAUUUUUCAAAACCGUUUAAUUUGGUUCGAGUUUGAUUUUUAGGCCAACCGAACAAAAUCCCCGACCCGGAUAUCUGAAACGCGAAUGAAUCCGAUAGUAUAGAUUUAUUUUAUAUCAUUAUAUAAUAUAGGUCAAGUUCUAUGAAGUACACAAUAAUAUUAGAGUACCAGUCACAAUCUUUUACUUUAAUUAUAAAUAAUAUCUUUGACUGUAAAUUUUUUUCAUAUAAUUUAUCAUUUACAAGUACACUUAAACAUAAUUAUCACUUAAUCAUUAAUAUAUUUCAACUUUAACAAGCAUUAAGAUUAUUGUUCUACUUGUGAAUUAUAUCGUAGAACAUAAUGUUCUCUAAUAGUUUUUUAAUGUUUUUUAUAUAAUUUUUGGGUUUCGGUUUAUACUGAACCGAACCGAAAACCGGUGAUUCGGGUUUGGUUUUUGAACUUCGAUUUUCAGUUCAAUUCUGUUCGGGUUCGGUUUUGAAAAAUACUAUUCGGUUCGAGUUCGGUUUUUGUCAAAACUGAUUGCCAUCUCUAAAAACAUUGGAUCGGUUGGCAGGAUUGAGCUGGACAAUUUUUUAUGCUUGUGAAUAAAGAAAAAUAGAACUGAUUAUACUCAUUUACAAUUUGUUUGCGUAGCUAAAAAUAUAGUUACUAGAUUGUUUGGACGCAAAAUGAAUUUUGUGAUUGUUAACCUCUGAAACACAAUGGGCGGAUCAAAGCUUUUACUAUAUCAUGGCCAGCUUAAAUGCUACUCCCUCCGUCUCUAAAUGCUUUUCCUGUUUGUGUUUUUCACGUUUGCCAACACACAUUUUUUUAUCGUUAAUAUCUUUCAUUUCGUAUUAGCAUUAAAUAUUAAAACUUCACCGUAUUAAAGUACUCGUGUAUACGAAUCUAACUAGAUCACUCAUGACUAUAUAUAGUUUUAUAUAUUAGAUGUAAAUUAGUAAUUUGUCUCAUGUUAUGAAGAGUACCGACAUCACAAACAGGAAAAGAAAAAAGAAACGGAGGGAGUACUACACUAUUUUCUUCCAUUCCCUCUAAACCCUGUUCCUGACCAAAACCCAAAAAUCUCUACGUCCAUAUUGCCUUCUCUCCACCUUCAUCUUCUUCUUUUGGAGUGACUGCUUUCUCUGGAGUGACUUCUUUUUAGCUACGCAAACAAAUUGUAAAUGAGUAUAAUCAGUUCUAUUUUUUUUUUAUCACAAGCAUAAAAAAUUGUCUGAUGCUCUACCAGACUACCAGUACAGGAACAGUCAUAUUGUUGAACAAGCUAAUGAUCGCAUAUGGCCAGUUCAAGUAAAUGCACCAGAAGACUUUGGAAACUUCUAUAGCCAUGAUUCUUCCAGGUUUGAUUUUUUCGACAGGUGGGGCAAUCCUUUGCCUUCCACGCUGAUGGUCUAUUUGGAUAACCCGCAUUUGAAUUUCUAAUAAACCUGCUUAUUGUGCCACAGCCACCAACAGCAACAAGCUUCUACCCAGUCCUCAUUGCUGGUUGCAGGGGUAUGAAUACAGUUUUUGUGCUCUGUUUAUAGCCGAGCCUAUAAAAAUUUAGAAAAUGCUACACAUGGAUGAAGUCUAAAUUAUUUUUUUAGCUGAGAGAUGAAGGCUAAGUUAAUAUUAUUGUGUUGCAGGUUGCUAGCAAUCAAAAUUCUCAGGGAAGAACUAGCAGCCAGAUGGAGCCAACUCUGCAAGUACCAGGUUUAAAUUCUCCGUCAACAGGGUCAAGAAAUCCCAGUACUGGUGCAUUUGAUUUUUUUAAAUACUAUUUUCGCGAUUAAGUUGGAUAAAUGUUAACUAGCCAGUAAUAGUUUACCUUAAUCUUUGGGAUGAUAAUUUUUUUAUUUUUUCAGUUUGUAAUUCAAUUUAUUGGAUUUAAUUUUUAGACUAUUGGCUUUGGCUAAACUUUUUUGCCCGCUUGUAAUUUAUAAGUAAAAAUCAACUUCUUUGUACAUAAGAGCAUUUCAAUGAGUUCCUUAAACAAACUCUUAACUCUAAAAUAUAGGAGGAUAUGAAAAAUAGAGCUCCAAUGGGCUCCUAGAACUCUUUAAAAAUUUAAGGGUUUCUUAUCUCUCCUUUUUUUAAAGAGCAUCUAGGUGCUCCUAACUUAUUUUUAUUGAAUAAAAUAAUCACUUUCUUCUAUUUUUAUGCACUUCUCUCUAAUUCUCUCUCCAACUUUUCUCUCAAAUAAUAAUAAAAUAUGAGUAAAGAGCAAGUAUUAAGAGUAUGGUUGUCACGAUAUUCAAUGUAUUAACAUACUAGGAGCCACAUAUUAUAUUACUCCCUCCGUUUCAAAAUUUAUGACGUUUUGACUUUUUACGCACAUUUCAAAGAGUUUUGACCAAGCACCUAGAAUCAUCAUUUUUUUUUAAAAAAAAUUAUACUUUAAAAUUUUGACUAUAUACUUUUAUUUAAUAAAAUAAAAUUUUAAAAAUAAUAAAUAUAAGUAUAUGGUCAAAGGAUUUUAAACUACGUGCAAAAAGUCAAAGCGUAAUACAUCUUGAAACGGAGGGUGUAUUUUUUAAGAAAGAAUUUAAGAGGAUCUAAAGAAGUUAUAUAAGUGAUCAGAAUUCAAGAAUUUGAAAAAUAAUCUUUUUUUAGUGAUUUUUUUUUGAAUUUUGAUUUAUAAAAAUAUAUUGAAACACUUUAAACGGUAGCUUAUACUCCCUCUGUCCCUCUCAUUUCUUUACGUUACUUUUUGGCAUGCUUUUCCACACUCAUUUAAAAUAUAGUUUUAUAAUAUAUUUUUUUAAAAAAAUUCUCUGAAUAAAAGUUUGGUGUUUAAACUUUUAUUUAGAAAAAAAAAAUUUUAAAAAAUAAUUAUGAAACCAUACUUUAUAAGAACCUAAAAAUGCGUGCAAACAGUGAACGUAAACAAUCACGGGGACGAAGGGAGUAAUAUUUAACUAUUAUUAUAAUAAUUCUUAUAUCUAGUAAGUUGUAGAUAUCGACAAAACUUACCUUGAACACAUAAAUUAAAAUUAUUUUCCACUUUAAGUCUAAAGUUAAUAAACCAAUCAUUGACAUCAAAACAGUUUAUUAUGGCUUAAUUUGGCUAGGCCCAAUCGAGCUAGUUACAUGCAUGGUUGGGCCGGAUAGAUGAGUUUUGGGCUAACUCUUUCUAUGAUCGUGACGAGGCACGUCUUUCCUUGUUAUUUUUAAUUCUAUACAUUUUUUUUGAUGCUCGACAAGCACAUCAAUGCUCUAAUAAAAUAUAAUUCUAUAACUUAUUUUGAAAAUUUUCUUCAUCUGAAUAAUAAUAUAACAUUCAAACUUUUAUUCAGAAAAGAAAUAUCUUAAAAAUAAGUUAUAGAACUAUACUUUACAGGAGCAUUAAAGUCUGUGCCGCGUCCCCGUCUGCCCCAUGUAUAUAACUCAGGGGGACGGAGGGAGUAUAAAAGAAGGGGCGUGACCCUUAUAAUAUUGAACCAGCUGUUGGCAGGAUAGAGCUGGACACGAGACUUCGUAUUCAAGUGCAUCUCCAACUGAUUCUCUACAGAAUUCUUAAUUUCAAAUUUAAAAACCAAUACAAAAUUAGAACUCCAAUGAGCUCCUUAUUACACAUAGUUUAAUAUAUAUAAAGGAUAUUAUUGACUUUUAAUACUAACGUACUUAUUAUACAUUAAUGUCUAAGCAUUAAUAUACAUUAAUUAUAACAUGAUCAUUAUUUGGAAUUAUUUUGAUAUUAUACGUAUAAAUAAUAUAUAUCUAAUCAUUUUUAAAAUUUUUAAUUUUCCCCACAAAUUUUGUAAAUUUUAAUGUUCUACCUGAUUUUUGACUGAUUAAUCCAGUUUUGACCAAUUAAUCAUCGAUUUAAUCGAUUUAUCAAAUCGUAUUAAAAAUUCGCCUGAUUAUCGAUUAUUCGGUUAAAUUUUAUCAAAUCGUAUUAAAAAUUCGCCUGAUUAUCGAUUAUUCGGUUAAUCAGCUGAUUUUUAGAAUAUCUAAUUAUUGUGAUUUAAUAAAAUUCUAUAUAUAUGAUUUAAUAAAAUUAUAUAUAUGAUUUUUUAACUAUACGACAAAGAUUCUGAUUCGACAAGAAUCUUAUUUGUUUUUAUCAAAUUUAGAAUAAUUUUAGGUGAACGAUAAUUUAAUUAUAUAAUAAAAUUUUAAAUAGUGUAUAGUUUUUUUAUAUUUAUAUUUUAAUAAAUAUCAUCAUAGUGAGGAUAUAUGUACAUUUAGACAUCAAGAUAAUAUGACUUAAAAUACACGUAAAUAUCAAAUUUAAAUUAUUUUCAUAAUAUAAAUAAUCUCAAUUUUUUAAAAAAAUGAAUAAAAGAUAUAACAAUAUAUCAAAAAAAUAAUUUAAAACAAGCACGGGUUAGGAAGCUAGUUCAUAAGUAAAAAUCAAGCUAUUCAUACAUAAAGAAGUUAUAUAAGUGAUCAGAAUUCAAGAAUUUGAAAAUAAUCUUUUUUUAGUUAUUUUUUUUUCGAAUUUUGAUUUAUAAAAAUAUAUUGAAACACUUUAAACGAUGGCUUAUAAUAUAUUAUUAUUAUCUUAAUAAUUUUUAUAUCUAAUAUGUUGUAGAUAUGGAAAAAAUUUAUCCAACCACACAAAAAACAUUUUACUAUGACUUAAUUUGUUGACAUCAUUUUGUGGUUGACAUCAAAACAUUUUAUUAUGGUGGCCAGCUCCUAUCGAGCCGGUUACAUGCAUGGCUGGGCUGGAUAGAUGAGUUCUGGGCUAACUCCUUCUAUGAUCGUGAUGUGGAGGCACGUCUUUCCUAUCUAAUAAAAGAAGGGGUCUAAUAUUGAACCAGUUGGCAGGAUAGAGCAGGACAAGACACUUCGUAUUUAUUUUUAUUUUUUUGUAGAUCUAUAUAUUCGUAGAUGAAUUAUACCGAAAUACGAUAAACCGCAUUUUCGAUUUCUUUUUUUUCAAGAAAGUUUAUCAUCUAACCGAAAGUCAUGCAAGUAUAAUUCCGGAUGUUUAGACAAUAAGGUUAAAUGAAUAAUAAAAGAAAGCCCAUAAGUCCGGUAGCUUUCUAAAUAUCCUGAAAAAACAAACCAAACAACACAUAAAUCAACAUACAAUAAAAUCACACAUAUAUAAAUUUAGUUAAAGUAAAAUAGAAAAUCUAAUAAAAAGCAAAACAAAAAUAUAUAUAAUAGAUAUAAAAUAAAAUAAUAUAGAAAUCUAUACUAUACUAUAAAAAACCAACAUGGUUAUAAUUUGUAUUCGUACAAAAUUUUGGUUUGGUACUCUGCUCUAAAACUAAAAGUCUACAACUAGAUAUCUAUUAAACAGUUUCAUAUACUAAAAGCACUCCUUAUGUAUAUUAAUAUCAUUUUAAAUAUAAUUUAUAAUUAGUUGAAAAAAGCUACUUUUUAAUUAUAACGUAUUCUACUCGAAAUUUAACUCUAACGUGUCCUAUUUCAUUACAAACACGAACCAUUGCGAAUUGCGUAACAUAUGAAGAUAUAUGAAAUAUGAAAAUUUUGAUUUAAAUUGAAUAAUAAACUGUCACAUAUUAAUAUCAGAAAAAUAUUUAUAGAUAGAUAAUAAACUUUCGUUAGAAGAUAUAAUCAGUUGGUUAAUAUAAUUUAACUAAAAUCUAAUUUAUUAAUACUAAAAUACUAAUAAAAAUGGUGUUAAAAAUUAAAUUAUAAUUAAUAAAUCACGAAUCAAAUACACGCCCGUGCGAUGCACGGGGUUAAAGGCUAGUAUUAAUUAAUUUCUAAUCAAAGGAAAAUCCUUUGGUUAGACACAUAAAAAUUAAAAUUUAAGCGAGGAAUAGAAACAAAAGAUAAAAUAUAAUUAAACAUAUUAAAUAUAAUGAUCAUGAUAAUGGUCAAUAAGUCAUAGAAGUGACAUCCAUAACUGGAACAAAAAGCCACUAAAUACACAAUAAAGUCAUCAUUAAUGACUUCAUAAAUAGUUUUUAAAUUUUGAAUCUUUGAAACUUAAUAAAAGUAAUCAAUUUCCAAAAAUUAAGAAAGUAUUUGAUUAAAACUUAAGAAAAGUUGACCAAUUUUCCUAAAUAUAUAAUUAAACAACACAUUUCAUAGACAUGACUUAGAUCAUAUCCUGCUAGGCCUCCUUCGCUGAGUGGUUGGGUGUUCAACAGAGAAAGUAUGCAUGCUGAUAGUGAUAAAGGGCCAAAGGCACUUCAUAGACAUGACUUAGAUCCGAUUGCAGAAAUGCCUUCUGCAUCGCUUGGUGGCCUAUCUGUGAAUGAGAAAGAAUUUUCUCCAACUACUUAUAACCCUUCUCCUCUGUAUGUGGCUCCAAUGCCUUCAGCACCACAAGUACCCGCUGAUGCAAAUUGGUUGAAGGGCCAUUCAUCAAAUUUUCCGGAGUCUAAAACUGGAGCUAAGAUCAGAGAAGCCGAAGGAAUAUCAGGUCCAACACCGACCACUAGGUACCCAAACCUGUCUCCUACUCAUGGACCAUUUAGCCCACGGCUUGCAAAUUUUAUUGAUGGCUAUCCACCACUUCUUGGAAUGAGCUCAUCCGAAUGGCUCUAUCAGUACAGGAACAGUCAUAUUGUUGAACAAGCUAAUGAUCGCAUAUGGCCAGUUCAAGUUAAUGCACCAGGAGACUUUAGACACUUCUACAGUCAUGAUGCUUCCAGGUUUGAUUUUUUCGACAGGUGGGGCAAUCCUUUGCCUUCCAGCCCCAUGGGUUAUUUGGAUAACCCGCAUUUGAACACAAAUUUGCCUCUCUGCGGAAUAGAGGAACAGAGAAGGGAGAAGCUGUUUCAUGGUUACCAAAGACCGAUCUCCUAUGGAUGUGUUACCGGGACAGACUUGGGAGCAGAGAAACCGCCACUUCUACAGUAUCUACAAGAAAGAGAAUGGCAACUACAACGAGAGAAUAAACUGCGAGGUCCUCCCUACAUGGGGAACUAAGUUAAGGUACAUGAAGACUUUAAGACUGACUUCAAUUCUAAGUCUAAAUGUUUGUUUGUACUUGGGUAAAUGAAGGUCCUGCAGGUUUUCAAGUGACAUUCUGGCUGAACUUAUAUUUGAAGAAGUGUGUAUUUCUUGUUUUUGUCCAAAAGCUACAAUGUUCUUGUGCGGAUCAGAUGGUUAUCAAAUAGAAGAAAAAAGUAUGUAAUAUUUCUUUCAGAACGUAGUGAUGUAGAUUGAGGGAUAGUAGUAAAGGUUUAACGAUGUUCAUGCAGAUUGUGACUUGCCUGAAUUUGUAUAUAUCAUUUUUUUAUGAUCAAAUUUAACCGUUUCUGAGUGUCAAAACAUUUACCAUAUAAAGACUAAUAGGGUUGAAUAUUUUGUUGUAUUUAUGGUGGUAACUUGGAUUUUUCUGAAGUCGUGUAAACACUUUCAGAUUGAAGUUAUUUGUGAUUCAUCAAAUAAUUCAAACGGAUAAAGUCAGAAAUUCUGCAAGAAGAGAAAAUGUGUAUCGAUUGAAGUUAUUUGUGGUUUAUCAAAUAAUUCAAUCGGAUAAAGUCAGAAAUUCUGCUAGAAAAGAGAAUGUGUAUCGUUGUGUUUUUCAAAUUAACCAUCACUUUGAAAUGAUCAAUGCAACAUCUAUAUAUAUAUGAUGUCAAUAGCUGUGUAUUUUGAUAAUAGAUACAUCUUAAUUAAAAUAGAUUUGUCUAAUGACAAUAGACACUUCUUAUCCCAAUAGAUGUGUCUAAUGUAAAUGGACAAAUCUAAUGCCUAUAGACACUUUUUUUUUCGUGGUCCGUACAUAAAUCUUUGUCUCCUUUCCAAGUAUAAAUACAGUGUGGCACAUUGUUUCAUCUCACAUUGUUUUUUUUUUAUUUGGCAAACCGGUAUUCGGACCAGUUUGCGCGCACCUGCUAUUUGGUGGAAAUGGAUUUUGGGGAUAAAGAUACUCAUAGAAUGUAAGCUAUUCUCUAUCUGUAGUGAGUGUUGGGCUAAUAUUGCUGCUUUUUCUAAAUUAUUUCUUUUUACAGUUCGAUUUUUGAAUUUUCAGGCUGAUGCUAUACAUUCACGAUCAUAUGAGAAAAAAUAACAUGCACGAGGCUGCUAAGAUAUUUGCAGAAGAGGCAAAUCUUGAGCUAAACCCGGGUCAGUAUUUUAAUUAUUUUUUUUCAUUAAUUCAACAUUUCAUGUAAUUUCUUAACUGUUUUUUAGUCUUCUUGAGGCAUGCAGUACUGAAAUUCAUUAAAUUUGAUUUUCUGAAAUAAUUAUUUGAUUUAUAAUUUAGUGAUCGAUGCUCCUCAAGGCUUUCUAGCUGAAUGGUGGGAAGUGUUUUGGAACAAAUACUUCUCCAUCUAUUCCAACAUCCCAGGAUGUGAGGUAAAAUCCUCAAGUUAUUCGAAUAAAUUGAGUCACUUGUAUUAUUCUUAGUUUUCUGAUUAAUGGAUCUACUGCAUUAACUCGAGAAAAAUCCUAGGAAAUUUCGAGGGAUGCCUCGACACUGGAUACGUCCUUUGUACUGCCAAGUCCUGGAUUCUCUGAAGGAAUGACUGCAGGGACCAUGCUACAAAACAUCUCUCCCAGGACCAUGAGCCAGCAUAUAGUUGGCAAUACUUCUCAUUGCAAGGGAAAGGAUAUCGUAAUGGAACCUAGUUCUUCUAUAUUGGUGCCAACUGCUGGGAUAGAAAGACCAUGGUUCGAAAACUCAAUGCCUAAUGUAUUCAGUACCAGGUACUUACUCCACUUAUAAAUAGUCUAACGGAAAAUGCUUCAUGCACAAAUUUAGGUACUUCUCAAUGGCGGAGGCACCUAUGGGCCAGGGUAGGUUUGGGCCCUCCCCGGAAAUUGUGACUGAAAUAUUUUUCUCAUUUUUUGCUUAAGCCCAGUCCAGUUUUCCAGAUAUAUGUGUUGUGCCCACGCUGAAAUCUUGUAAAAACAAAGUGCAGGCUCUCAAAUUUCAUUUAGAAAAGCAAGAGAGCACUGAGCAAGAGAGAAAUAUCUGUGUUUUUUAUUUAUUUUUUUUGUUGCAUUUUUCUACUCAUAGUUGGAAAAAAGAAUUACUCUAUAUUUUAGCCCUCCCUCAUAUAUAUUCCUGGCUCCGCCACGGGUACUUCUUAUGGCGCAAUGUUAAGUUGUCUUUGCGUCAGUUCUUGAUUCUUCCUUGAGGCGGUGUGAGUUUUAUCUGACACAGUACUCUGUUGUAAUCUUAAGUUGUUUUUUUAUUUUUAUUUUCUUAUAUUAUUGAGAAUGACAUGAAUAAGUUGACACAGUUGAAUUAGUUCAUUUCUGUGUGUGCCUAUCGAAUUUCUAAUAAACCUGCUUAUUGUGCCACAGCCACCAACAGCAACAAGCUUCUACCCAGUCCUCAUUGCUGCUUGCAUGGGUAUGAGUACAGUCUUUGUACACUAUAUAUAGCUUGUUGGAUAUUAAUCAUAUCCUACAUAGCUGAGCCUACAAAAUGUGAACUGUAAAUUAUUUUUUUAGCUGAGGGAUGAAGGCUAAAUUAAUAUUAUUAUGUUGCAGGUUGCUAGCAAUCAAAAUUUUGAGGGAAGAUCUAGUACCCAGAUGGAGCCAACUCUGCAAGUACCAGGUCUAAAUUCUGAUCAGUCAACAGUGUCAAGCAAUCCCAGUGCUGGUGCAUUUGAUUUUUUCAAAUACUAUUUUCGCGAUUAAGUUGGAUAUGUCAAUCUUCACGAUGAUAAUUUUUUAUUUUUUGAGUUUGUAAUUCAAUUUAUUGGAUUUAAUUUUUAGACAACAGGCUCUGGCUAAACUCUUUUACCCGCUUCUAAUCUAUUAUAUAUCUAAUAGAACAAUUUUUUUUUUUGAUAAAUGAGUUAAUUCAAUAAUAAAAAACCAUACGGCAUCUACAUAAACAGUCGCGUCGAACAAACAAAAUACAGAAACAAUCACUGAUUAAUCCAUUCAUCUUGGAGAUAAAAUUACGUGAUUUGUUGAAGAUGAUGUCUACACAUACUUCGCCACUUUCGCUUCCGACACAAACAGUUUGAGCUAUCGACUGAAAAUGCAAUCCCUUGACAAUUUCUAUUACUAAAUCAAGCAUCAUACUCACACAAACGGUGAGAAAAUAACAAAACUCACACAAACGGUGAGACAACAAAAAAAACGGGUUAGGAAGCUAGUUCAUAAGUAAAAAUCAAGCUAUUCAUACAUAAAGAAGUUAUAUAAGUGAUCAGAAUUCAAGAAUUUGAAAAUAAUCUUUUUUUAGUUAUUUUUUUUUCGAAUUUUGAUUUAUAAAAAUAUAUUGAAACACUUUAAAUGAUUGCUUAUAAUAUCUUAUUAUUAUCUUAAUAAUUUUUAUAUCUAAUAUGUUAUAGAUAUGGGAAAAAUUUAUCCAACCACACAAAAAACAUUUUACUAUGACUUAAUUUGUUGACAUCAUUUUGUGGUUGACAUCAAAACAUUUUAUUAUGGUGGCCAGCUCCUAUCGAGCCGGAGGAGGGGAAAUUAGGGUUUGCGGAGGAUCGCUAAUGUAAUUAAUUAUUUGCAAAAAGAGAAGAAGAGGUAAAUUAAUUCAAUACGACUAAUAUACCCUUUACUUAUUACACAUAGUUUAAUAUAUAUAAAGGAUNGAUGUGGAGGCACGUCUUUCCUAUCUAAUAAAAGAAGGGGUCUAAUAUUGAACCAGUUGGUAGGAUAGAGCAUGACAGGACACUUCGUAUUUAUUUUUAUUUUUUUUAGAUCUACAUAUUCGUAGAUGAACUCUACCGAAAUACGAUAAACCGCAUUUUCGAUUUCUUUUUUUCAAGAAAGUUUUUCAUCUAACCGAAAGUAAUGCAAGUAUAAUUCCGGAUGUUUAGACAAUAAGGUUAAAUGAAUAAUAAAAGAAAGCCCAUAAGUCCCGUAGCUUCCAAAAUAUCCUGAAAAAACAAACCAAACAACACAUAAAUCAACAUACNGUAUACAUUAAUUAUAACAUGAUAAUUAUUUGGAAUUAUUUUGAUAUUAUACGUAUAAAUAAUAUAUAUCUAAUCAUUUUUAAAAUUUUAAAUUUUCCCCACGAAUUUUGUAAAUUUUAAUAUUCUAUCUGAUUUUUGACUGAUUAAUCCAGUUUUGACCAAUUAAUCAUCGAUUUAAUCGAUUUAUCAAAUCGUAUUAAAAAUUCGCCUGAUUAUCGAUUAUUCGGUUAAUCGGCUGAUUUUUAGNAUAGAAAAUCUAAUAAAAAGCAAAACAAAAAUAUAUAUAAUAGAUAUAAAAUAAAAUAAUAUAGAAAUCUAUACUAUACUAUAAAAAACCAACAUGGUUAUAAUUUGUAUUCGUACAAAAUUUUGGUUUGGUACUCUCCUCUAAAACAAAAAGUCUACAACUAGAUAUCUAUUAAACAGUUUCAUAUACUAAAAACACUCCUUAUUUAUAUUAAUAUCUUUUUGAAUAUAAUUUAUAAUUAGUUGAAAAAAGCUACUUGUUAAUUAUAACGUAUUCUACUCGAAAUUUAACUCUAACGUGUCCUAUUUCAUUACAAACACGAACCAUUACGAAUUGCGUAACAUAUGAAGAGGGUUUUAUAUCAAACGGGCCACUCGUUGCGUCAAAAAAUCUCACUUGACCCACAUAUUUCAACGAGGACUCAUUUAAGCCACUAUAAACCAAAUACAUAUCAUUUUACCCACAUCACUAUUCAUACAUCUUUACUUAAUCAUUAAUCAAAAAUUAACCGUUUGUUUUUUUACACCGAAACCACUUCAAGUACUUUCAUAAUUGUCUCUAGUAUUUAUCAAAAUAAUUUGAGAAUUUUUAAAGCAACAUAACUAUGUAAUUAAAAAUAUAUGUAUCUAUAAAUAUAUAUUUAUUUGAUAACCCUUGUUAUGUUGCUUUAUGAAUUCCCAAAUUAUUUUGAUAAAUACUAGAGAUAAUUAUGAAAGUACUCGAAGUGGUUUCGCAAUAAAAAAACAAACGAUUAAUUUUUUAUAAAUGAUUAAGUGAAAAGGUAUGAAUAGUGAUGUGGGUAAAAUGAUAUGUAUUUGGUUUAUAGUGGCUUAAAUGAGUCGCUGUUGAGAUGUGUGGGUCAAGUGAGAUAUUUUGACUCAACGAGUGGUCCGUUUGAUAUAAACCCCCAUAUGAAGAUAUAUGAAAUAUGAAACUUUUGAUUUAAAUUGAAUAAUAAACUGUCACAUAUUAAUAUCAGAAAAAUAUUUAUAGAUAGAUAAUAAACUUCCGUUAGAAGAUAUAAUCAGUUGGUUAAUAUAAUUUAACUAAAAUCUAAUUUAUUAAUACUAAAAUACUAAGAAAAAUGGUGUUAAGAAUUAAAUUAUAAUUAAUAAAUUACGAAUCAAAUACCCGCCCGUGCUAUGCACGGGGUUAAAGGCUAGUAUUAAUUAAUUUCUAAUCAAAGGAAAAUCCUUUGGUUAGACACAUAAAAAUUAAAAUUUAAGCGAGGAAUAGAAACAAAAGAUAAAAUAUAAUUAAACAUAUUAAAUAUAAUGAUUAUGAUAAUGGUCAAUAAGUCAUAAAUGUGGCAUCCAUAACUGGAACAAAAGGCCACUAAAGACACAAUAAACUCAUCAUUAAUGACUUCAUAAAUAGUUUUUAAAUUUUGAAUCUUUGAAACUUAAUAAAAGUAAUCAAUUUCCAAAAAUUAAGAAAGUAUUUGAUUAAAACUUAAGAAAAGUUGACCAAUUUUCCUAAAUAUAUAAUUAAACAACACAUUUCAUAGACAUGACUUAGAUCAUAUCCUGCUAGCCGCUAGGCCUCCUUCGCUGAGUGGUUGGGUGUUCAACAGAGAAAGUAUGCAUGCUGAUAGUGAUAAAGGGCCAAAGGCACUUCAUAGACAUGACUUAGAUCCGAUUGCAGAAAUGCCUUCUGCAUCGCUUGGUGGCCUAUCUGUGAAUGAGAAAGAAUUUUCUCCAACUACUUAUAACCCUUCUCCUCUGUAUGUGGCUCCAAUGCCUUCAGCACCACAAGUACCCGCUGAUGCAAAUUGGUUGAAGGGCCAUUCAUCAAAUUUUCCGGAGUCUAAAACUGGAGCUAAGAUCAGAGAAGCCGAAGGAAUAUCAGGUCCAACACCGACCACUAGGUACCCAAACCUGUCUCCUACUCAUGGACCAUUUAGCCCACGGCUUGCAAAUUUUAUUGAUGGCUAUCCACCACUUCUUGGAAUGAGCUCAUCCGAAUGGCUCUAUCAGUACAGGAACAGUCAUAUUGUUGAACAAGCUAAUGAUCGCAUAUGGCCAGUUCAAGUUAAUGCACCAGGAGACUUUAGACACUUCUACAGUCAUGAUGCUUCCAGGUUUGAUUUUUUCGACAGGUGGGGCAAUCCUUUGCCUUCCAGCCCCAUGGGUUAUUUGGAUAACCCGCAUUUGAACACAAAUUUGCCUCUCUGCGGAAUAGAGGAACAGAGAAGGGAGAAGCUGUUUCAUGGUUACCAAAGACCGAUCUCCUAUGGAUGUGUUACCGGGACAGACUUGGGAGCAGAGAAACCGCCACUUCUACAGUAUCUACAAGAAAGAGAAUGGCAACUACAACGAGAGAAUAAACUGCGAGGUCCUCCCUACAUGGGGAACUAAGUUAAGGUACAUGAAGACUUUAAGACUGACUUCAAUUCUAAGUCUAAAUGUUUGUUUGUACUUGGGUAAAUGAAGGUCCUGCAGGUUUUCAAGUGACAUUCUGGCUGAACUUAUAUUUGAAGAAGUGUGUAUUUCUUGUUAUCAAAUAGAAGAAAAAAGUAUGUAAUAUUUCUUUUAGAACUUAGUGAUGUAGAUCGAGGGAUAGUAGUAAAGGUUUAACGAUGUUCAUGCAGAUUGUGACUUGCCUGAAUUUGUAUAUAUCAUUUUUUUAUGAUCAAAUUUAACCGUUUCUGAGUGUCAAAACAUUUACCAUAUAAAGACUAAUAGGCUUGAAUAUUUUGUUGUAUUUAUGAUGGUAACUUGGAUUUUUCUGAAGUCGUGUGAACACUUUCAGAUUGAAGUUAUUUGUGGUUCAUCAAAUAAUUCAAUCGGAUAAAGUCAGAAAUUCUGCAAGAAGAGAAAAUGUGUAUCGAUUGAAGUUAUUUGUGGUUUAUCAAAUAAUUCAAUUGGAUAAAGUCAGAAAUUCUGCAAGAAAAGAGAAUGUGUAUCGUUGUGUUUUUCAAAUGAACCAUCACUUUGAAAUGAUCAAUGCAACAUCUAUAUAUAUAUGAUGUCAAUAGAUGUGUAUUUUGAUAAUAGAUACAUCUUAAUUAAAAUUGAUUUGUCUAAUGACAAUAGACACUUCUUAUCCCAAUAGAUGUGUCUAAUGUAAAUGGACAAAUCUAAUGCUGAUAGACACUUCUUUUUUUCGUGGUCCGUACAUAAAUCUUUGUCUCCUUUCCAAGUAUAAAUACAGUGUGGCACAUUGUUUCAUCUCACAUUGUUUUUUUUUUAUUUGGCAAACCGGUAUUCGGGCCAGUUUGCGCGCACCUGCUAUUUGGUGGAAAUGGAUUUUGGGGAUAAAGAUACUCAUAGAAUGUAAGCUAUUCUCUAUCUGUAGUGAGUGUUGGGCUAAUAUUGCUGCUUUUUCUAAAUUAUUUCUUUUUACAGUUCGAUUUUUGAAUUUUCAGGCUGAUGCUAUACAUUCACGAUCAUAUGAGAAAAAAUAACAUGCACGAGGCUGCUAAGAUAUUUGCAGAAGAGGCAAAUCUUGAGCUAAACCCGGGUCAGUAUUUUAAUUAUUUUUUUUCAUUAAUUCAACAUUUCAUGUAAUUUCUUAACUGUUUUUUAGUCUUCUUGAGGCAUGCAGUACUGAAAUUCAUUAAAUUUGAUUUUCUGAAAUAAUUAUUUGAUUUAUAAUUUAGUGAUCGAUGCUCCUCAAGGCUUUCUAGCUGAAUGGUGGGAAGUGUUUUGGAACAAAUACUUCUCCAUCUAUUCCAACAUCCCAGGAUGUGAGGUAAAAUCCUCAAGUUAUUCGAAUAAAUUGAGUCACUUGUAUUAUUCUUAGUUUUCUGAUUAAUGGAUCUACUGCAUUAACUCGAGAAAAAUCCUAGGAAAUUUCGAGGGAUGCCUCGACACUGGAUACGUCCUUUGUACUGCCAAGUCCUGGAUUCUCUGAAGGAAUGACUGCAGGGACCAUGCUACAAAACAUCUCUCCCAGGACCAUGAGCCAGCAUAUAGUUGGCAAUACUUCUCAUUGCAAGGGAAAGGAUAUCGUAAUGGAACCUAGUUCUUCUAUAUUGGUGCCAACUGCUGGGAUAGAAAGACCAUGGUUCGAAAACUCAAUGCCUAAUGUAUUCAGUACCAGGUACUUACUCCACUUAUAAAUAGUCUAACGGAAAAUGCUUCAUGCACAAAUUUAGGUACUUCUCAAUGGCGGAGGCACCUAUGGGCCAGGGUAGGUUUGGGCCCUCCCCGGAAAUUGUGACUGAAAUAUUUUUCUCAUUUUUUGCUUAAGCCCAGUCCAGUUUUCCAGAUAUAUGUGUUGUGCCCACGCUGAAAUCUUGUAAAAACAAAGUGCAGGCUCUCAAAUUUCAUUUAGAAAAGCAAGAGAGCACUGAGCAAGAGAGAAAUAUCUGUGUUUUUUAUUUAUUUUUUUUGUUGCAUUUUUCUACUCAUAGUUGGAAAAAAGAAUUACUCUAUAUUUUAGCCCUCCCUCAUAUAUAUUCCUGGCUCCGCCACGGGUACUUCUUAUGGCGCAAUGUUAAGUUGUCUUUGCGUCAGUUCUUGAUUCUUCCUUGAGGCGGUGUGAGUUUUAUCUGACACAGUACUCUGUUGUAAUCUUAAGUUGUUUUUUUAUUUUUAUUUUCUUAUAUUAUUGAGAAUGACAUGAAUAAGUUGACACAGUUGAAUUAGUUCAUUUCUGUGUGUGCCUAUCGAAUUUCUAAUAAACCUGCUUAUUGUGCCACAGCCACCAACAGCAACAAGCUUCUACCCAGUCCUCAUUGCUGCUUGCAUGGGUAUGAGUACAGUCUUUGUACACUAUAUAUAGCUUGUUGGAUAUUAAUCAUAUCCUACAUAGCUGAGCCUACAAAAUGUGAACUGUAAAUUAUUUUUUUAGCUGAGGGAUGAAGGCUAAAUUAAUAUUAUUAUGUUGCAGGUUGCUAGCAAUCAAAAUUUUGAGGGAAGAUCUAGUACCCAGAUGGAGCCAACUCUGCAAGUACCAGGUCUAAAUUCUGAUCAGUCAACAGGGUCAAGAAAUCCCAGUGCUGGUGCAUUUGAUUUUUUCAAAUACUAUUUUCGCGAUUAAGUUGGAUAUGUCAAUCUUCACGAUGAUAAUUUUUUAUUUUUUGAGUUUGUAAUUCAAUUUAUUGGAUUUAAUUUUUAGACAACAGGCUCUGGCUAAACUCUUUUACCCGCUUCUAAUCUAUUAUAUAUCUAAUAGAACAAUUUUUUUUUUUGAUAAAUGAGUUAAUUCAAUAAUAAAAAACCAUACGGCAUCUACAUAAACAGUCGCGUCGAACAAACAAAAUACAGAAACAAUCACUGAUUAAUCCAUUCAUCUUGGAGAUAAAAUCACGUGAUUUGUUGAAGAUGAUGUCUACACAUACUUCGCCACUUUCGCUUCCGACACAAACAGUUUGAGCUAUCGACUGAAAAUGCAAUCCCUUGACAAUUUCUAUUACUAAAUCAAGCAUCAUACUCACACAAACGGUGAGAAAAUAACAAAACUCACACAAACGGUGAGACAACAAAAAAACCAAAACCAAACAGGAUAACCUAACAACCAAAUGCGUAAAUGAAAUAUUGGCUAAAACAAGGCAAUCUUAGAUCUGGGGAACAAAAGCCACAAAAACAAGAUAAAUCGGACCAAUUUCGAGGAUAAAAGUAUCGGGAAGAACGAGAAAUCCGCAGUUCCGUGGAAUUGAGAUCUAAGAAAAAGAAGGCCAAAUCGGAAAAGGUUUUGAGUCCUUAGAUCCGGAAAAACAAAUGCCAAAGAAGUUUUAUUGAAAGAAAAAAGAAAACACAAGAGAAGAGAAAUAAAAAAUUUUGGGGCUUUCCACCGGUAGAGAUCGGGUGGAAGGCCCCGUCGCUACUAAGCAAAAGAAAAGGACAGAGGAGGGGAAAUUAGGGUUUGCGGAGGAUUGCUAAUGUAAUUUUUUUUUGAAAAAACGCACUUGCAAUUUUAUAGCUUAUCAGAAUCAAGCAUACAGAUGAUGAAAUCCGGAGCAGUAUGUAACCACUCCGUAGGACCUGACAUAGAAUACGAAACUCUUGCUAAGCUAUGAGCUACCAUAUUCGUAGAUCUAUGAGCAAACAAGACUAACACUUCAUCAAAGUGUUUAAGUAAAUCAGUACAAUCAUCAACGAUUGCAUGAAAGUAAGUAUUCCCCUGGUUUCCAUUAACUGCAUCGACCAAGAUUUUUGCAUCGCACUCAAACACACAUUUACUCCUCUUCCAGUCCUUUGUCCAGGUUAGGGCCUCCUUUAGACUUAUGGCCUCUGCUUCGCGUGGGUGAUAACUACCUUGAACUACACUGCUUCUGGCCCGAAGGAAAUUUCCCCAUUCAUCCCGAAUAAUGCAUCCUAUGCCCACCUGUCCAGUUCCCAAAACACAAGCUGCAUCCGUGUUUAUUUUGACCCAUCCAGCAGGUGGUUUACACCAACUUCUCGCUACUGUGGGUUGACGAGUUGCUCUUUCCUUCCCUUCUUCCCUAGCUUGCUGCCAUUCUACUAGCAUGCUCAUCGCUUUUGAUCUCACUCCGAAUGCCGACGUGUUAACAUGGUUCCAAACCCAGCUAUUUCUUCGCUGCCAAAGGUUCCAACACAAUAAACUAGCCAUCCUGAUUUGCUCCUUACUUCCUGCUUGGAAAAUCCGUUGUAAUACUGUCAUGGCCGUGUCAUUUUGUCGAGUUGAGACGAGAUUGCUUAGCCCAGAACCUUCCCAUACCUCUCUCGCGAAACAACACUGAAAUAAGACAUGAAUAUCAUCUUCUACACCCCUCAAGAACCAAGAACAUACUGUAGAGAUAUCAACUCUCUUCAUAGCCAGUGCAUAGGCUGUCGGCAGACAACUACGACAUGUACGCCAUAAAAGAUUUAAUACUUUACCAGGCAGCUUCAAACUCCAUAAUUUCUUCCAAAACACUCCAUCACGGCAUUCUGCUUCCCCUCUCAGUCUUCUAUAACAGCUUCUUACAGUAAAUUCGCCUUUGUCCUCGAGUAACCAGAACCAAGAAUCUUCCCUUCGUCUGUUUGAGAUAGGUAUCUGUCGGACAAGAUUUCUGUCCCUGUCAUUUAAGAUAUCAUUUAGAAUGUCAUCAUCCCACCCCCCCUGAUUCUCGUCAAAUAAACAUUGCACCGUACUAUGCUGCAGUUCCUCUGGUAGUUCAGUUGUUAAGAAACCAUUUUCUGGGCUAGGUAACCAGGGGACUUUCCAGAUUUUAGUGCUCAACCCAUUACCAAUCCGACGGCGACAUCCUUGACGCACCACGUCCUGCGAUUCGAGAAUGCUUCUCCAUACAUAACUUGGGUUGGUCCCAAUACUUGCAUUUAGAAAAUCUGUUUGCGGGAAGUACCGAGCACGCAUUAACUGUGUUACUAGGGGAUUUAUAUUAUUCACCAGCCUCCAUGCUUGUUUUGCUAGCAUUGCAACAUUAAACUCUCGCAGUUUCUUGAAUCCUAGUCCUCCAUCCUCCUUUACAGUGCACAAUCUUUCCCAUGACAUCCAUUUGAUACCUUUAUUUUCACUGCCAUUCCCCCACCAGAAGGCAUUCAUAGACUUUUCAAUUCCAUCACAAAUCUCUACUGGUAUUAGAAACAUAUUCAUCCAGAAAUUCGGAAUAACCUGGGCCGCUGUUUUCAGUAGCACUAUCUUACCCGCCUUUGAAAUAGGCUGAUUUUGCCACCCGUUAAGCUUUUGUUGUACUCGCUCUACCAGAAAAGAGAAAGUUUCAUUUCUUUUUCGACCAACUACCAUAGGCAUUCCCAAAUAUUUGCCUGGGUUUUGCUGUUCAGAGACACCCAAUUGACUACAUACCUCCAACCUACUUGCUUCAUUAGUGUUAGGAGAGAAGGUUACGCCUGACUUUGUAUAGUUAAUCUUCUGCCCUGAGAUGUCUUCAUAUCUAUUCAGAAUCCUUUUCAUGACACUAGCUUCAGCUCCAGAUGCUUUAAAGAAAAAAUAACAGUCGUCUGCGAAAAGGAGAUGAGAAAUAGUAGGCGCUCCUCUGGCAAUAGUACAUCCGUGUAAAAGUCCUGCAUCUUCAUUAUGACGAAUGAUAGAGCUUAAACCCUCCGCACACAUAAUGUAUAAGUAUGGUGAGAUGGGAUCGCCUUGGCGUAAUCCUCGUUCUGGCACAUUUUCACCAAAUAUCACCCCAUUUUGAAGGAAACUGUAUGAUACAGAUUGCACUAACUUCAUGACCUUGUCAAUCCAACUCGUACUAAAGCCAAAUUUCUCCAUCAUAUUUCGAACAAAUCUCCACUCCACCCUAUCAUAUGCCUUUGAAAUGUCGAUCUUUAAUCCCGCAAUACCGUUUUUACCUUGUGUGCGCCUCUUCAUGUAGUGGUUUACUUCAAAAGCAAUUAGUGCAUUAUCCGUUAACAAUCUUCCCUCGAUAAAAGCACUUUGCUUAUCAGAUAUGAUCGAGGCUAGGCACGGCUUCAAACGAUUCGACAAUACUUUUGAGAGGACUCGCACUAGCACAUUACAAAGUGAUAUGGGCCUGAGAUCUCCCAUUGACUGUGGCAUCUUAACUUUCGGGAUUAAACACACAAGGGUUCUAUUAAUUCCCUCAGGGAGUUCCCCUGUUGUCAUAAAACUCUGACAAAAUUGAAGCACAUCUCUUCCAACUAUGCUCCAAAAGGACUGAAAGAAAGCUGGAUUUAACCCAUCCGGUCCUGGUGAUUUGUCGGGGUGCAUUGAGAAUACUGCCUCCUUCACUUCCUCGAUUGUCACUGGCUCUGUUAGGGCUUCAUUCUCCUCCUCCUUCAGUUGCUUCACCCUUUCGCUGUCAGAUAAUUUUCCAUCAGCACCCGUGGACUUGAAAAGCUGGCCGAAGUACUCAGUCACCACCUCCUGUAUCUCUUCCGCUGUCUCUCGCCAUACUCCAUUCCCAUCUUUUAUUCUUUGAAUGCAGUUAUUUUUCUUCCUAACAGAGGCAUGCCUGUGGAAAAAACGAGUAUUACUGUCCCCUUCUUGUAACCAAAACUGCUUAGCUCGCUGUUUCCAAUAUGUUUCUUGUUUUUCUAGCAGAUUUAGAUACUCCCAUCUAACUUUGUUAUACAUCUGUAUACCAUUCCUGUCUCUUCUGGCUCUCAACUUUCGCAAUUUUGUUCUGCAGCUUAUCAGUCCCGUCUUAAAUUCCUGGCUGAUCCCCCCUCCCCAUUCAUCCAGCUUUAGACAACAAUACCUUAUCUUUUCUAAAAUAUCACUGCCUUCCGUAAGCUCCCAACUGUCCUUAACUACACUGAAACAAUCUUUUUCUCUGAGCCAUACAUUUUCAAAUUUAAACCGUUUACUCUUUGGGGCAUAAACUUUCUUGUUUAGCUGCAAAAGAAGUGGCAGGUGGUCUGAGGUAGCUACCUCGAGAACUUGAACUUCUGCUUGCGGGAACAUACUACACCAUUCCUGAGUUGCCAAGCCACGAUCUAGCCGCUCUUGUAUCCAGUAAUCUGUUCCCCGUGAUUUCUCCCAUGUAUACUUCUCACCAACGUAGCCUAAGUCGAUCAAGUUACACUCACAAACUGUAUCCACGAAACCAGUUAAUAAGUUACGUGGGUGUGCACGUCCCCCCUCUUCUCCUCCGCAAACAUAAGGUCGUUGAAGUCGCCUAUAAUACACCAAGGCAACUGUGAUUUAUCAGCCAGACUUCGGAUUAAAGACCAUGAUUCACGACGACGAGCUCUUUCAGGGCAGCCAUAGAAGCCAGUGUAUCUCCAUCUCCCUACCUGCUCAUUCUCAACUUCAAAAUCAAUAUAAUGGUUGUUCACCUCCUUUAUCACACAUGCUCCUUCAUUUUUCCAUAAAAGAGCCAGCCCUCCACUAUGCCCUCGAGCGUCCACUGCUAUGUAACCUGCGAACCCUACCUCUUUUCGAACUUCAUCUACUCUAACUUUAUUUGUUAAUGUUUCAGAAAGAAAAAUAAAACAAGGCUUUGCUUGGUGGGUAAUCUCCUUUAAAAAUUGAACUGCCCGUGGUUUACCCAGCCCACGACAGUUCCACGCAAUUAAACUCAUUUGUCUAGGCGGGCCUGUGGCACAGGACCCGCCUCUUGCAAGUUUUUUGGCCCACCCAAAUUGCUAGGCCCUUCAAAAUUAUCCACUCCAUCACCUUUUGUAGUAUCCUCAUCCGCCACACGUCUACGUUUAGGAUCAAUAAUAACCACUUCACUAUCCUGAAAUACCGCCUCCGUGAUAAUCUCUUUCUGAUUUGGCAAGCUGUUAUUUUUUGAAUUCCCCCCCUGAUCUCGCUGCACAAUCUUUAUCCCCCCAUUAUCGCCAAAAAACUCGCCUAACUUUCCAUCCACGUCCAUGAAUUUCGCGUGCACCCUAUCUCCUCCAUGGACGGUGGUUGACUGAUGUGCUCUUCCCCCUCCUGUACCUCCUGUCUGACUUCCGUUCAUGCUACUUCUCAGCCACCUAGCCCCCAUGUUUUGAGUAUUAGUAUUACGCGUUGGAGCUCUCAGCCAAGUACCAUAUGCUCGCUCUAUUUCCUUCUCCGUGUUGGCAUAGACUAUCCCACAAUCCCGAUCAGAAUGCCCCAACAUGCCACAAACAAAACAAAAGGUACUUAGUCUUUCAUACUUGAAGUUGACCCAACUCCAGUCUCCACCCUCCCUCUUGAUCUUCAUACGUCUUUUCAGCGGUUUGUCCAAGUCCAUCGUGACUCUAAUGCGCUGAUAAAGUUUCCAUCCUCCAGUGAGGUUUGCAGGAUCAGUUUUGACAAAGGACCCUAUAAACUUUCCUAUACUCAUGAGAAUAUUUUCAGAUAUGAACCCUUGCGGAAGAUCAUAGAUCUGAACCCAAAUGUCGAUUUUAUUCAAUUUAACAAGAUGGGGAUCCUCAUGCUCUCCAAGUUUGUGAGACACCAGUAGGCUCUGUUCAAACGUCCAAGGUCCCCCCUCCAAAACUUUCUGUAAAUCUAACGGAUGAUAGAAAACAAAAGAAAAUCGACUCCCUCCAAUAUCAUGAACAUCCAUACCUUCUUUUGGACGCCAGAGAGAUGCGAGUACGUUCUGCAUGGCAUUGAAAUUAAUGUUUCUCUCCGUAAGAAAGCGCCCAACCAAGACAUACGUAUUUCUCGGUUGUUGAAUAUCCCCUUCUGCAACUAUGACGCCUCCAGUAUCAUCCUCCUCCAUAGCCAACCUCGCGUACAUUUCUUCCAGAUUUGUCAUUUGUGAAUUCAUUUGAUUAAGAAAACACCCGUGUAACCCCUACUGUGAUGAGACAAGAGUGAUAUAGACCCGUAAUACCUAUUUCCUUGUCAUAUGGACAAGACAGAGAAAACUUGCAAUCAUGCAAGACAGCUGUUAAAUCGAUAAUUAUUGUCAGAGCUUUUCCAUGUCAGAUAACGACAAUUCGAAACGCUAAUGUAAUUAAUUAUUUGCAAAAAGAGAAUAAUAUACCCUUUACUUAUUACACAUAGUUUAAUAUAUAUAAAGGAUAUUAUUGACUUUUAAUACUAACGUACUUAUUAUACAUUAAUGUCUGAGCAUUAAUAUACAUUAAUUAUAACAUGAUCAUUAUUUGGAAUUAUUUUGAUAUUAUACGUAUAAAUAAUAUAUAUCUAAUCAUUUUUAAAAUUUUAAUUUAUCCCCACAAAUUUUGUAAAUUUUAAUAUUCUACCUGAUUAAUCCAGUUUUGACCAAUUAAUCAUCGAUUUAAUCGAUUUUAUCAAAUCGUAUUAAAAAUUCGCCUGAUUAUCGAUUAUUCGGUUAAUCGGCUGAUUUUUAGAAUAUCUAAUUAUUGUGAUUUAAUAAAAUUAUAUAUAUGAUUUUUUAACUAUACGACAAAGAUUCUGAUUCGACAAGAAUCUUAUUUGUUUUUAUCAAAUUUAGAAUAAUUUUAGGUGAACGAUAAUUUAAUUAUAUAAUAAAAUUUUAAAAUAGUGUAUAGUUUUUUUAUAUUUAUAUUUUAAUAAAUAUCAUCAUAGUGAGGAUAUAUGUACAUUUAGACAUCAAGAUAAUAUGACUUAAAAUACAGGCAAAUAUCAAAUUUAAAUUAUUUUCAUAAUAUAAAUAAUCUCAAUUUUUUUAAAAAAAUGAAUAAAAGAUAUAACAAUAUAUCAAAAAAAUAAUUUAAAACAAGCACGGGUUAGGAAGCUAGUUCAUAAGUAAAAAUCAACCUAUUCAUACAUAAAGAAGUUAUAUAAGUGAUCAGAAUUCAAGAAUUUGAAAAUAAUCUUUUUUUAGUUAUUUUUUUUUCGAAUUUUGAUUUAUAAAAAUAUAUUGAAACACUUUAAACGAUGGCUUAUAAUAUCUUAUUAUUAUCUUAAUAAUUUUUAUUAUCAAUAUGUUGUAGAUAUGGAAAAAAUUUAUCCAACCACACAAAAAACAUUUUACUAUGACUUUUUUGAUCAACAUUUUACUAUGACUUAUAUAAUUUGUUGACAUGAAAACAUUUAGUUUUGUGGUUGACAUCAAAACAUUUUAUUAUGGCUUAAUGUGGCUAGGCUCUAUCGAGCCAGUUACAUGCAUGGCUGGGCUGCAUAGAUGAGUUCUGGGCUAACUCCUUCUAUGAUCGUGAUGAGGAGGCACGUCUUUCCUUGUUAUAAAAGAAGGGGUCUAAUAUAGAACCAGUUGGCAGGAUGGAGCUGGACAGGAGACUUCGUAUUUAAGAUACAAGGCGCGCCAAUCUGUCCGAGAUAUGAGGAUAACCUUUUCGGGGAUAUAAAGAUCAUCGUUCUCCGAAUAUACCGUUAUCAUGUCCUAAGUUAUUAUUUAGGGCAUUUGAUGGGAAAAGUUGCUCCAACAAUGUCCUAGUGAUGCCUUAUAUCACUAGGACAACAUCCUCAAGCCCUAUUUUUGAGGCACCUCUCUCCAUGCCCUAUCACAUAUUUUAUUAUAAAAUCUCAUCAACACUCACUUAUUCUCUCUAUUUAUUAUGCUUUAAUGAUGAAAGAGAGUCUUUAAUAAUAAAAUAUUAAACAUCUUGUGGAGUUUUUAAUAAUAAAAUAUUAAACAUCUUAUAAGAAUAUGACACAUUGUUGGAGUUCAAGCUAGUAAAGUAUAUCCUAAAAUACUAGGACAUGAUAUUUUAUAAUAUAUUUAGGGCAUCAACUAAGACACUCUUGGACUUGCUUUUAAUCCUAUAUUAUGUCCGUGUCCUCGUACGGGGCUUAAGGUAAUUAUGAUUAUUAGUGAAGGUUCUCCCGGAUUGAUGAAGAAGGGUCAUUUGUCUGGAUCCUGGAUUCUGGUGAAUUACCCUCGUUUGAGACGAUCAUAUGUGCGGAUUUCAAGUUGGGAAAGAUUUGAAAGUAAAUAGAUGUUUUGGAGCUAAAUUAUAUGGAAAUUUGGAUUUAUUGGGCUAUACCCGAUUUUUACACUAUUUGAGUCAUAUCUUUGAGAUCUAAAUAUUAGAUUUGAACGUUCUUACAACCCAUGCUAUAUUAAAUUUCCUCAGAAGUGGUCCAGGAAGAAAAAUCCAACUAUAAAAGCCCGUAAACUGAGGUCCAAAUUCAGCCACGAAUUUUUGACAGAAUCUUACUUUGUUUUGGAGUUUAUUGUAUAUUAGUAAAAACAUUAAAAGUACUUUUGUUAUGAAAUAUAGGAUGAGAUAUUAUUAUGAUAGAGUAUUAGAUUAAAAUUAGAGUUAGAGAGAAACCUAUAAACAUAGACCAAAGCUUUUCUUGGAUGACAACAAUAAAGGUUAAAAGUUUUGUUCUCUAUUUUCUUGUUAUUUGUUUGAAGGACUUAUUAGUUUAAUUAUGUCUCUUUAUUACCUUAGUUGUUUUAGUUAUUUAGAGUAGUGAGUUCUAGAACUUAAGGAUAAGUCAUGUUUGCAGUAUGAUAUUGGAAUGAUUGAUAUGUUUUAUCAUUGAUUUGUGUAAUCGCCUGAUAUCAUGAAUUGUAACUAUGCAAAUAGGAAUUAUAUAAUCGAGAGAUAUACUACUAGAGACACACAUCAAUUAGAAUAAUUGAAUUUGAGUGCGAUAGCAUCAUUAGAUUCUUGAUUAAUGCUUGAGAGAGAUUAGUAUUGGUUUAAUUACUUGAUUAAUAAAAUUACUAAAAGUGAUAAUACGUGUAAUCAUGUUCCGAGAGUGUUGAUACUUGAGAGAUAUUAACAUAUUCUUGUUACUUGAUCAUUGUAAUGUUUUAGCUUAGAGUCGGUCAUUGAGUAAGCAUGGUGGACCUGAUCGCCCUAGACUUUUAUUAUAGAACUAUACUGUAGAGAAGUAUUAAUGUUCGUGCAUUGUCCACGCCCUAUACAACUUAGGGGACUAAGGGAGUACAAAAUUAGAAAGGAAAAAAAGUGUAAAAAUAUGGUUAGGGCAGGGAGUAUAAAGAUGCAGAUUUUUGGUACUAAGCGGGUGUUUGGCAACACUUAAAUAAGUACUUCGGCACUUCUUCUAGCACUCUAAACUACUUCUACUUUUUACCUAGGGGCCGUGGGCUAAAUUUAAACAAAAGUGACUUAUUGCUUAAAGUAAAGAAGUGGAUUAAUAAAUGAGAAGUUGAUUUAGAUUUAUAUGUUAUUAGAAGUGUUUGGAUAUCAUGACUUAUAAGUUAUUUAAGUGUAUGAAUAACUUGAUCUAUAAAUUAGUAUAGUUUGAUAAUUUUGUAAUAUAUUUUUGAUAUAUUUGAAAGAAAUAAAUUAUACUAAUACAAGAACUUAUAUUAUUAAUAUAUGAAAUAUUUUAUAAAUUCACAAUAUAAAAACUCGUAUUAAAAUAAUAAAAAUAAAAACAAAUAACUCAAGUAAAUAUAUCUAUAAUUGUAAAGAUCGUAUUUAGUGUGUGAAAGUUUGAAGCUAAUUAAAAAAAGAAAAAGAAAAAGCUAUGUGGUGGAUCAUAAAAAGCUAGAAUCCAUGUCUUUUUUUGAACAUUUAAUACCCAUGAAUACCCAUGAGAAGUAUUUAAACUUAUUUGCCAAACAUGCCAUCAAAUAGCAGACAACACUUCUUUAAUAAAAAAGCUCAGAAGCGGGGUUGCCAAACACACGUCUAGUGUCCGGCAAAAGAAGUACAAGGGCUUCUUUUGAGGUUUUUAAGCCAAAAACUAGAAGUCAGAAAUGCUAGUAUUUUUGAGUUUUUUUAGUGAUUUGCAUUUUAUUAUGAAGUUUUUAAAAUUUUAAUAUGUAAUAAAUUGUAUUUAUUAACUAAAGUUUCUUUUAUUUUAAUAAUUUGAAUUUUUUCAAUUUAUAAAUUUAAAUUACCAAAUUUAAUUGACUUAUAAGUAAAAUUUAUCCAAACACUUUUAUCAACUUAUACUCCCUCCGUCCCCCUCAUUUGUUUACAUUGGGGGACGGGGGCUCGGUAUGCAUUCUAAUGCUCUCAUAAAACGUAGUUUGAUAAAUUAUUUUGAAUUUUUUUCUUCUGAACAAAAAUUUGAUGUCUGUAUUUUUAUCCAAAAAAGAAAAUUUUUAAAAAUAAAUUAUAAAACUAUGUUUUAUAUGCGCGUUAAUAUGCGUGUCGAGCACUGGAAAAAAAACUGUAAAGUAAUAAGAGGGCUUUUCUUGUUAUAUUUUAAAAGGUUUCAAAAAAAGGUUGUUUUUAUAUUCAUUUAAAUUUUUUUCAAAUAAAAUGAACCAUUUUUUAAUAUAUAUAUUUUUGUCUCUUUCUAAAUUUUUCAUAAUAUGUUAAAUAUUAUUUAUUUUAUAUAUUAUGCACAAAUUAUAACAUUAUAAUCAUACAACAUUUAUAUUUUAUGAUACAAAUCAAGUACAAACGAGUAGCUAGGGCUGAGCAUUCAGUCGGUUCGGUCCAGAACCGGACCGAACCGAAAGGACCGAAGACCGAACUCCUGUAAAUUUUUGGACCGGACUGGACCGAAGUUUCCAUAUGGACCAAACCAGAACCGAACCGAAAUACUUCGGUUGGUCCGGUCCGAUCCAUUAGAACCGAUUUUUUUAAAAAAAUUUAAAUUAUCUGUGUUACAAAGAAAAUUAUCAAGCUUGAUAUACUCUUUUACGACCUUGAUCACACAAAAAUUGCACUUUCAGUACUGUGCUUUAUCAUUACAACCCGUAAGAAAGCCAGAUCUUUGUGGCAAAUUACCACCCUACAAGACUAAAGGGGUUGAAAAUUGUACAAAAACAUCAGCAGAGGCUAAUGCACACUACUACAAACUGGACUUUCAGCGUCGGUUAAAUAACCCCUAAGGCGUCGGUUAAAUGGCGAAGCAAAUGUGGGAGACGCUAUAGGUAUAGGCCUAUAGCGUCGGUUAAACUGGCGACGCAAAUCAUCUCUAGCGUCGGUUAAAGAGCAAUGCAAAAGGGCCAGCAACCGACGCUUUUGGUCAUAUAUUAGCAUCGCUGCACAAGAACGCCGACGCUGAAAGUAUUACAUUAGCGUCGGCGGUCAACAACGCCGACGCUUAAAGUACUACAAAAGCGUUGGCGGCAACAACGCCGACGCUUAAAGUACUACAAAAAGCGUCGGUGGUCAACAACGCCGACGCUUAAAGUAUUACAAUUAGCGUCGGUGGUCAAAAACGCCGACGCCUAAAGUAAUACAAAAGCGUCGGUCAUGAAAACUGCCGACGCUGUAGAUCCUGACCUCUUGCGUCGGUCAUAUAAAAUGCCGACGCUUUUGCUUAUAUAUAUUUUUUUAAUAUUUCUUAAAUAUCUUUGCGACCUGUUCCAUUAUACUAAAACAUCUAAUAUUAUACCAAUACAAUACACCAAACAAUUAAAUCCCAAAACAACUUAAACAAUUAUAUCAAGAAUUAAUUAUGUCCAAGUUUACACUUGAAAGAAACAUUACACAUUAAAUGCCACAAAAAAAACUUCAUGAUAUCAGAUUGUUACAAAUGAAUCCAAACACACUGUCUCUAGCAAGAAGUUCAAGAUCUUCAAGGACCAGUGAUUGUAUAUCACAGUACUGCAGCAGGCAAGAACUUAAAUGCUUGAACUGUUAGGACUUCAAACGACAAGGCCGAUGACAAGAUUACCUACACAUUCCCAUCACUAUUAUACAAUNNNNNNNNNNNNNNNNNNNNNNNNNNNNNNNNNNNNNNNNNNNNNNNNNNNNNNNNNNNNNNNNNNNNNNNNNNNNNNNNNNNNNNNNNNNNNNNNNNNNNNNNNNNNNNNNNNNNNNNNNNNNNNNNNNNNNNNNNNNNNNNNNNNNNNNNNNNNNNNNNNNNNNNNNNNNNNNNNNNNNNNNNNNNNNNNNNNNNNNNNNNNNNNNNNNNNNNNNNNNNNNNNNNNNNNNNNNNNNNNNNNNNNNNNNUCGUCAUCGUGGCCUUUUGGAGUCCAUGACCCAUCUGAUACUUGCCUCUGCAACUCCUCCUGUUCAUAACAGAAAGAAAUAUUAACAGCCUUGAUAAGAAAUAUUAACAGCCUUGAUAAAUUCACACUAUAACAUAUUAAUGCACUUAUUCUCUGAUUGCUAAUCAUGUGCUGGUUUCAUCUCUUAGUAUUUAAACAGAACGUGGACAGUGAGAUGGCAUAUGCAUGUUUAGACAGUUUGGCUACUUUCUUUGCUAUACAUAAAUAUACAUAAAUAUGGUGCUAAAUUGUCAUGCUGAUCAUUUACUUUUAAUCACUCCAUGUAUCAGAUUCACUGGUCUUAAUAUCAGAUUAGACAGUAUGCUCAAUGUUGUAUAAUUUCAGCCCUGAUCCAAAUAUUAACGAAGAUGUAAAAGAAAGAAAGUCAGUUAUGUUUUUACCAUUUUCUCAAACACCUCCUUUGUCUUGUCAUUUGGAAUGUAAUAACCUCCAUCCUCCUUUGGUUUUGAACGUGCUCUCACCCAAUCAUAACUACGCCCAGUACGCUCAUUCGAUAAAUUUGACGGGUUAACUGAUUCGGAAUCAGUAAAAGAUUUGAUGGGGUCAUCAACAGACCACUUAGUCCUCUUUGCCGCAUAUCCAACUGGCCCUAGGUAAUGUACAUGUUCAUUACAUUUUUGACUUUUCUUUGCUAAAUAUAACUCCUUCCAAUUUUUUAUAUUUAAAACAAAACAUAUAACUUUACUUUUUUAAUCUGUAUCUAUAAAUAAAAUAAUUGCUCACACAUUUGUCUCGACUAGAGUACAAUUUUAUUGAUAUUAUUUAGCUUUAAAAAUACUACAUAUACAUAGUAUUAUGAUAUUAUCUUUACAUACAAAAUCAAGAGAAUAUGGCAUACAUACAAAAUCUAAUAUGUCCAACCUAUAUUAAUUUAAUAUCAACUUAUAAAUUGUUAUUCAAAGUUUUUUUCGAUCUAUAAGUUUAGAACACCCUAUUAUUUACUUGCACUCCAGCUUUUUUACCAACCUUAAGUCUUUAAAUUAAUAAUUGGAAUCAGGGAGUUGAAGCUAAGAUCCGCAGAUUAGUAACAUAAUUACUUGUAUUUGAACUCUUCCUACAGUUAACUCAAUCAAAGUUAAAGUCUCUUCCAUCACACUAAAUUAGUGUGAUGGAACUAGGAACAAGCUGCUUAAACUCCUGUUAACAGGGGACUGAGAGAAGCAGAUAGUAUGUUAAUAAUAUUUCUUAUACUCUAUUCUUUUUUGUAUUUUUGGUAUUUUGUAAUUCCUAUCUCUAAAAAAAACAGAUAUUAUAUAUACAACAAACAAGAAUCCAUAGAAAUUCGAGCAAUGCUACAUGGGACUUUAAGAAGCUAACUAGCAAUAGAUAAUAUAAGACUCUUCAGCAACUAAAAAUAGAACUGUAAAUAUCAAUAUUUACCUGACAGUAGUCUGGCUACAGGAUUGAUGUCAAGAUGCAGCAGAGCAGAAAAUCCCACAGAAAUAUUUGCCUCUGAGAACCUAAACAAGACAAUUGGCACUUAUUUUAGUGUAUAGCAUUAAUGCUUUCAUAAGAGAACCUAGACAAGACAAUUUUAUGCGUCGUCUGCUUAUGAGAUCAGUUGAUAUGCUAUCAAGUUCUUAACUUGGUUAUUUCAGAAUGAGAUCAUGUGACAUGACACCUACUUUGACAUGCUUCAGCUAAUGACCUAAAGCGCUACACAAGUGGGAUAAAAUAAAAGACAAUUACAAACCAAAAUCUCUUGUGCAAACAACAUGGGACAUGUCCAAUUAGUAUGAAGUCUCUCAUCAUCUUUCAACUAAUUUAGCCCAUGUUUGUGCACACAGUUGCCUUCUCCAAUUAUUCACUCACAACAACAAUAUACACAUAGGGAAGAUUACAAUAAGUAUGCUGCUGUCCAAGUUAUCCUGUCUAAGGUAUAUCAGGAUUUCGCGGUACUUAAAUUCUAGACAUUCUUGAAAGAAUAUAGCUUCUGCACUAAAGCAAUAUCAAGCCAAGGCAUAUUAUUUUGCAUGUGCUUGCAGAAAACUACAAUCAACAUAUAUUUGUAAAUCGGCCGAAAUCAGCCCAGGAGGCUCUGGGUUAAAAUAAACAAAUAUCAUGGUAUUAUCAGCACCUAGAUUUCACGACAUAGGUAUACAUAUAAUAAACUACACCCCUGAAGUUUCCUGGACUUCAGCAAAAGCAUUAGUACACCUAAAACACUAAGAUUUGACAGAUUUUUGCAAGAAAUGACUAAUCUUAUUAUCAUAAAGCAAACAUAACAUACAAGUCAGGUAGAAUCCAUGCCGACCUUACCUUACUGAGGCACAAAGUGUUUCCACAAAGACUUUGUGAAUAAAAAGAUAAAUAAAUAAAAGAAUAUAUUUAACUUUAAAAUAAAUAAAAACUCGAGGAGCUGCAAGAAGUCAUAUAGUUACAAGUACGGCAGAAACAAUUGAAAGAAGCUAAUGGCGCAAAAUAUAAAUCCUUAAAAACACUACGAUAUGUAACGCUAGACAUAUUAUAUAAUAACACCAUGACUAAACAAAUCUACAAACAUCAAAUUGACAGAGGCAAUCACAAUCAUAUGUUGAAUAUUGUAACUUGGGAUCACUUGAUUCAUCAAACACUCACAAUUUUGAUAGCAGCAAUAGCUACUGUACAGUCAAAUCAAAAGUGCAUCAUCAACUACAGUACUAGUUUAAACCAACUCAAAUUCACAGCAUUGAUGUUACAGAACUGAACAUACUAGACCAAAAAACCAACAAAAAACUGAAAGAAGCUAAUGGCGCAAAAUACUAACAAAAAACUAAUACUAAAAAACACUGCAAUAUGUAAAGCUAAACAUUUUAUAUAAUCACAUCAUGACUAAACAAAGCUACAAACAUCAAAUUGACAUCAAAUUAAGUACCCGGCAAGGACUUUGUACUCAAAAUUAAGUACCCACAACCAAAAUUAUGUACCCAAUAACCAGCCCCCAACACCUAGCAAAAUAACUCAAACACCCAUCACCGAGCAAUGAAUCAAACACCUGGAAUGCAGUAACAAAAUUAAGUAUAUGGGUAGUAACAAACUUAAGUGCCCAGCAAAGGCUUUCUUCUGAAAAUUCAGUACCCAACAACCAGCCCAACACCUAGCGAGAAAUCAUACACCCAAAUAACUCGAAACGGAAAAGAAAGAGACCUCGAUCCCUCGACAACUAGACAGGAAAAAGAGACGAGAAUGGAAAAGUGAGAAGAGAAUGGAGAUGGGAGAAAGUGAGAUUGACACCUGCAAUGAUUAAUCGAACGAGACGGAAGAGAAGUCGAGAACGAAGUCCAGAGUCGUGUCCGGAGUCUUGGAAGCGCACAACUGCUUUUCGCGCACAACUUCUUUUCUUUUCCUUUUAUGUUCUGGGUUAUAUUUUGAUAUUAACUGUACUAGCGGUUAUAUAAUUUUAAAUUUAUCAUAUAUAAUUUAAAUUUUAACAUCAUUUUAUUCGUGCUUUUAUAUUAAUGAAUUUAAAUUUUUAUUAAAUUAUAUUAACAAAUUGACAUAUUCACUUUAAAAUUGAGCUUUUGCAAUAUUUUUUUAUAUUUUCUAUUAUAAGUUACGCAUCUAUUAAUAAUUAUUAUAUAAUAGUAAUAUAUAUUAAUGAUAGUAAAUUUACUUUUUUUAUUUUUUAACUAAUUAUAAAUUAUAUUUAAAAGUAUAAUAGUGUAAUUUUUAUCUUGUAGUAUAUAAAACUGUUUAGAGAUGUAAGACUAUGAGAACUCUACGUGUAGCAGACUUUUAGUUAUAAAGUGAAUCACCAAACCAACAUGACCAAACCAAAAUUUUGUACGACUACAAAAUAUACCCAUGUUGGCUUAUUAUAGUAUAGUAUAUAAUUUUAAAUGUAUCAUAUAUAAUUUAAAUUUUAACAUCAUUUUAUUCGUGUUUUUAUAUUAAUGAAUUUAAAUUUUUAUUAAAUUAUAUUAACAAAUUGGUUAUAUUCACUUUAAAAUUGAGCUUUUGCAAUAUUUUUUUAUAUUUUCUAUUAUAAGUUACGCAUCUAUUAAUAAUUAUUAUAUAAUAGUAAUAUAUAUUAAUGAUAGUAAAUUUACUUUUUUUAUUUUUUAACUAAUUAUAAAUUAUAUUUAAAAGUAUAAUAGUGUAAUUUUUAUCUUGUAGUAUAUAAAACUGUUUAGAGAUGUAAGACUAUGAGAACUCUACGUCUAGCAAACUUUUAGUUAUAAAGUGAAUCACCAAACCAACAUGACCAAACCAAAAUUUUGUACGACUACAAAAUAUACCCAUGUCGGCUGAUUAGACUACAAAAUAUACCUAUGUUGGCUUAUUAUAGUAUAGUAUAGAUUUAUAUAUUUUUUAUUUACUUCACCUAAGGCGUCGGCGUUCCACAAAGACGAUGCUGGCACUUUAGGCGUCGGCAUUCUGAAGCACGACGCAAAAGCUCCAGUCCAACUGCACUUCUAUAGCGUCGGCGUUUCAAUACCCGACGCUAUAACUACCCUAAGGCGUCGGCAUUCUGAAGCCCGACGCAUAAAAUGGUUUAAGGCGUCGGUUAACUGUGAAACCGACGCCAAAAAACCAGAGAAAUUGUCAAUAUGCGUCGGUUAAAUUAUCACCCGACGCAUAAAGAUGUCUAAGGCAUCGCCUCCCUGUAAAACCGACGCCUAAAGUGCGACGCAUAAAAUCAUUUCUGUACUAGUGAGUACUAUAGGUACCUUUGAUUCUCUAACCAGAGGGCUGAAUAUUUGAUUCUUUGAUCGGACGAGCAGUGAGUGGUCGUGUGCACGGUGCUGGGAUGUAGUGGGUAGUGGGAUAGGCGAUAGUAGAUUAGGUACGUAUAAUAGAUUAGGGUAUAGAUUAUGUUAAGUAAUAUAUAAAAUAAAAAUAUUAAUUAUAUAUAUAUAUAUAUAGAGAGAGAGAGAGAGAGAGAAAGUAUAUAUAUAUAUAUAGAGAGAGAGAGAGAGAGAGAGAUAGAGAGAGAGAGAGAGAGAGAGAGAGAGAGAAAAGUUCUAUGGAGACUGAAUUUUGUGGAGGAUGGAGAGACUUGAUCAUAGCCAUCCAUUUCUUACACAUCCAAAGGCUCAUGUUAUUUGUCCUGCACAUUAGUUUUUUCUCCCUAUCCUGUGCUGCACUUCUAAAUCGGUGAACAACAAGUAGUAGUUGUAAAUUCCGCAUAACAUAAAAUAAUAAUUUCAUAAUAUUGGUGUUCAAUCACCAAAAUCCUAACAAAUAAAAACAAUAAUUGCAUACAAAACAAAUAUGUAGUUGGACAUUGCUAUGAUUGGCACUAAACUCAUUGUCAUUGUCCUGCAACAAAUUGAAUUUGUUGUAAGAAAAAAUAUCACUUAGAUGUAUCACAAAUGCGGGACAAAUUAUUAAUAUUACAUUAUCAGGAAUGCAGGACAAGGAUAGUGUAAAUUAUAAAGAUAGUUUUGAAUUAAAACUAAAACAAGAAAUGCAGGACAAGAAUAUUAACAAUACAUUACUAGAAAUGCAGGACAAGAAUAGUGUAAAUUAUUAAUAUUACAUUACUAAAAAUGCAGGACAAGAAAUGCAGGACAAAGAAUAUUUAAUCAUGUCCAUUAAUUGCCAAAUUAUUUUAACGACAGAUCUUGUAGUCUUUAAGGACUCCAAAGUUUUUGGUCUUCAUUGAGCCCAACUAUAUAUAUAUAUAUAUNNNNNNNNNNNNNNNNNNNNNNNNNNNNNNNNNNNNNNNNNNNNNNNNNNNNNNNNNNNNNNNNNNNNNNNNNNNNNNNNNNNNNNNNNNNNNNNNNNNNNNNNNNNNNNNNNNNNNNNNNNNNNNNNNNNNNNNNNNNNNNNNNNNNNNNNNNNNNNNNNNNNNNNNNNNNNNNNNNNNNNNNNNNNNNNNNNNNNNNNNNNNNNNNNNNNNNNNGUGGGAUAGGCGAUAGUAGAUUAGGUACGUAUAAUAGAUUAGGGUAUAGAAUAUGUUAAGUAAUAUAUAAAAUAAAAAUAUUAAUUAUAUAUAUAUAUAAAGUUCGAUCCAUUCGGUCCAGGACCGAAGAUUUUGGUUGACGACCGGACCGGACCGUAUUUUAUUUUGGUCCUGACCGAAAUACCCGAACGGACCGAAAAUUCAGAAAAUUAGGACCGAACCGGACCGAAAUUAUUCGGUUCGGUUCGGUUUUUCGGUUUCGGUUCGGUUUUGCUCAGCCUUACGAGUAGCUAUACGCUGAAAAUCAUAUAUUGCAUGCACCAUUACCAUAAAUGUAACAUCCCCAUCUUAAAUCAAGAUGAGGAGUUACCUACAGACCUAAAACUUGCAAACAGAACACUAAUCAAUGAAAAAGACCUGCCAGAAGAAGAAUACGGCAUGAGCCAAAUGCCCAGUACGGAUUGAAAGCAUUUACAAAACAAAAAACAUUUAAAAAUAUUUUGAUAGUAUAAUAAAACAGUUAUUUUUAAAAUAUAAGCAACGAGGGCUUAGGAUAUUUCAUACCGAGAUCAAACAGAACAGAUACAAAUACACACAUCAUAGGGUAUCGAAUGUGUGCAACAAAUCGGAUAACAUGUACGGCAUAUACAACGUCACCGCCAAUCACAAAUCAAAUCAAACUGGGUGCACCCACGUAUCCUAAACAAAUAAUCAAAAUGGCCAAAGCUCCUCCCAAGAGCUAACAGAAGGAUACGCCGUGACUAAUCACACUGUCACGGAAGUGUCAUGUCAUCGGUGCCGCAAUGACAUGGCUGUCUCCUACUCAUGGACCAUUUAGCCCACGGCUUGCAAAUUUUAUAGAUGGCUAUCCACCACUUCUUGGAAUGAGCUCAUCCGAAUGGCUCUACCAGUACAGGAACAGUCAUAUUGUUGAACAAGCUAAUGAUCGCAUAUGGCCAGUUCAAGUAAAUCUAGAAAGCAGGGAUACUUCAGUUUAACGAAGAACUGCGUAUCGGAUACUUCGUAGUGCGGGGGUGCGCGAGGGUGCGGCGGAGUGCAUACGGGAUACGCCACGUGGCGUAUCGGUGGAGGCAGCGAUGGGGAUACGUGGGGGGUGCGGGGAUGGGGGUGCGGGAGUGGCACAAUUCAUAAUUUAAAAGAACUUUUUUCAAAAAAAAAACCUAAAAUCAAUCAGUCAAAACCUAUGUUGCUCUAUACUCGACUAUGUGCAAUCAGAUCGUUGUCAUCGCCGGAAAUCUUCUGGAGGUUGUCGGAAAGAAUGCCCAAGUCGUGAAUGGUAGUUGUAUAUGACUGCAGACUCACAGAGAUGAAGUUUGGCGAACGACCACGGGGCAGAAGAGGGCAGAAGAAAAGGGGGAGAUAGUCUAUCUAGAACAGAUUUGUGUUUAUAUGUAUGUAUACACUUUGGUAACUUUAAAUGAACCUGGACUGAGGUAUGUCCACAUUCAUUUCCUAAUUUUUCAUUUACCUUUAAUGAUAAAUUUUAGGAACUAAUUAUACUUCAGAAUUCACAAAUUUAAUAUAUAAAAAUAAAUGGUUUAAAUGUUAUGAAAAUUUUAUAAAUUAUAUUUAUUUACAAUAUAUAUAUAUAUAUAUAUAUUAUAUAUAUAAUAUAUAUAUAUAAUAUUUUUAAUAUUUUAAUAUUUGCCGUAUCCCCUCGCACCCGUAUCCCCAUAUUUUGGAAUUUGACGAAUUCCCGUAUCCACGUACCGCGCACCCGCACUCCCGCACCAUACAGCGCACCCGCACUCCCGCACCCGCACUCCCGCACCCGCACCCGCACUCAUGCUUUCUAGAAGUAAAUGCACCAGGAGACUUUGGACACUUCUACAGUCAUGAUGCUUCCAGGUUUGAUUUUUUUGACUGGUGGGGCAAUCCUUUGCCUUCCAGCCCCAUGGUUUAUUUGGAUAACCCGCAUUUGAACACAAAUUUGCCUCUCUACGGAGUAGAGGAACAAAGAAGGGACAAGAUGUUUCAUGGCUACCAAAGACCGAUCUCCAAUGGAUGUGUUACCUGGACAGACUUGGGAGCAGAGAAGCCACCACUUCUACAGUAUCUACAAGAAAGAGAAUCGCAACUACAACGAAAGAAUAAACUGCGAGGUCCUCCCUACAUGGAGAACUAAGUUAAGGUACAUGAAGACUUUAAGACUGACUUCAAUUCUAAGUCUAAAUGUUUGUUUGUACCUGGGUAAAUGAAGGUCAUGCAGGUUUUCAAGUGACAUUCUGGUUGAACUUAUAUUUGAAGAAGUGUGUAUUUCUUGUUUUUGUCCAAAAGCUACAAUGUUCUUGUGCCGAUCAGAUGGUUAUCAAAUAGACGGAAAAAAAUAUGUAAUAUUUCUUUCAGAACUUAGUGAUGUAGAUUGAGAGAUAGUAGUAAAUGUUUAACGAUGUUCAUGCAGAUUGUGACUUGCCUGAAUUUGUAAAUAUUUUAUUUUUUUAUGAUCAAAUUUAACCGUUUGUGAGUGUCAAAAUAUUUACCAUAUAAAGACUAAUAUGCUGGAAUAUUUUGUUGUAUUUAUGGUGGUAAGUUGGAUUUUUCUGAAGUCGUGUGAACACUUUCAAAUUGAAGUUAUUUGUGGUUCAUCAAAUAAUUCAAUCGGAUAAAGUCAGAAAUUCUGCGAGAAGAGAGAAUGUUUAUCGAUUGAAGUUAUUUGUGGUUUAUCAAAUAAUUCAAUCGAAUAAAGUCAGAAAUUCUGAAAGUAACGAGAAUGUGUAUCGUUGUAUAUUUCAAAUGAACCAUCACUUUGAAAUGAUCAAUGCAACAUCUAUAUAUAUGAUGUCAAUAGAUGUGUAUUUUGAUAAUAGAUACAUCUUAAUCCAAAUAUAUUUGUCUAAUGGCAAUAGACACAUUAUAUCCCAAUAGAUGUGUCUAAUGUAAAUGGACAAAUCUAAUGCGAAUAGACACUUCUUUUCCAAUAGAUGUGACUAAUGCCAUUGUUAAUGCUACAAAAUAUAUUUACUCAGGUUGGAAGUAUGUUUUGACAAUAUUUGUAUACAUACUACCAAUAUUUGUCAUAGACCUGUUGUCUAAUUCGAGAGGAGAAACAUACCGUACAAAUCAGGGGAACGGUAAGCCGACUUAUUUUCUUAUAUUCACUAGAAUAAAUUAUCAUACACUAUACAUUUGAUAUAUGAUCACAUUGGUCAUUCUCUAUACUCGAAAUAAACGUGCCUGCAGUGCUGGCAAUUUUUAUUACAUUUUGGUUAAAAUCCUCAGUCUGAGUUGUCUGAAUGUUGGGGUUCAAGCACUACAAAAAAACUUAAAAAUGUGAGUAAUAGCCUUUAGCUAUUCACAUGUAAAUGCUAGUCAAUUAUGGCUUUCAUGCAUGUAAGGCCAAAAAAAUAUCAUAGCAAACAAUGAUAAUAACUGGAUUAUUAUAGCUUUAUAGCGUCACUAAAGUUUAUUCUUAUGUAAUUCUUCAGUUUCACUAAAGUUUAUUCUUAUGUAAUUCUUCAGUUUCAAGAAAGUAAAACGUUUUGCUUUGCAUGCUUAUGUUGGGCCGCGCAAUACCCGUUAACUCCGCAUUAGUAUGAUAUUAUCCGCUCUAGGCGGUGGCCAAGCCUGCACGGAUUUGCUUUCGGGCUCAUCCCAAAAGGCCUCAUACUAAUGGAGUUAUUUGGCUGCUUAUAUUCAAGAUAAAUCUUCUUUAUCUUUCCGAUGUGGGACUUGGGUUAAACCCACUCAACAGAUUAGUGUUCACGUUUUGUACACUAUCAGUUUCCCUUAACAUCACACUUUUCAUUUUUUUUUUGGUAAUUUUGUCUCCUUUCCAAGUAUAAACACAGUGUGGCACAUUGUUUCACCUUACACUGUUUUUUUUUUUAAACCGGUGUUCGGGCCAGUUUGCGCGUACCUGCUAUUCGGAGGAAAUGGAUUUUGGGGAUAAAGAUACUCAUAGAAUGUAAGUUAUUCUCUAUCUGUAGUGAGUGUUGGGCUAAUAUUUCUGCUUUUUCUAAAUUAUUUCUUUUUACAGUUCGAUUUUUGAAUUUUCAGGCUGAUGCUAUACAUUCACGAUCAUAUGAGAAAAAAUAACAUGCACGAGGCUGCUAAGAUAUUUGCAGAAGAGGCAAAUCUUGAGCUAAACCCGGGUCAGUAUUUUAAUUAUUUUUUUUCAUUAAUUCAACAUUUCAUGUAAUUAAUUUCUUAACUGUUUUUUAGUCCUCUUGAGGCAUGCAGCACUGAAAUUCGUUAAAUUUGAUUUUCUGAAAUAUUUAUUUGAUUUUUUAAGUGAUCGAUGCUCCUCAAGGCUUUCUAGCUGAAUGGUGGGAAGUGUUUUGGAACAAGUACUUCUCCAUCUAUUCCAACAUUCCAGGAUGCGAGGUAAAAUCCUCAACUCAUCCGAAUAAAUUGGUCAAGUACGUGUAUUAUUCUUAGUUUUCUGAUUAAUGGAUCUACUGUACUAACUCAAGAAAAAUCCUAGGAUAUUUCGAGGGAUGCCUCGACACUGCAUACGUCCUUUGUACUGCCCACUCCUGGAUUCUCUAAAGGAAUGACUGCUGGGACCCUGCUACAAAACAUCUUCCCCAGGUUUACAUCUAUCAGCACCAUGAGCCAGCAACUAGUUGGCAAUACUUCUCAUUGCAAGGGAAAGGAUUCCGUAAUGGAACCUAGUCCUUCUGUAUUUGUGCCAACUCCUGGAAUAGAUGGACCAUGGUUCGAAAACUCAAUGCCUAAUGUAUCCGGUACCAGGUAUAUAAUUAACUUACAAAUAAAUAAUCAGAAAUAUGAAUUAUUCAGUUUUAUUUCUUAACUAUUAAUUCUUUGAAUGGCUUUUGUAAUAAUCCUGCUUAUUGUACCACAGCCACCAACAGCAACAAGCUUCUACGCAGUCCUCAUUGCUGGUUUCAGGGGUAUGAAUACAGUCUUAUUACAAAAUGUAAAUAAUGCGGGGUAUGAAUACAGUCUUAUUACAAAAUGUAAAUAAUGCUACACAUGGAUGAAGUCUAAAUUAUUAUUUUAGCUGGGGAAUGAAGGCUAAAUUAAUAUUAUUAUGUUGCAGGUUGCUAGCAAUCAAAAUUCUGAGGGAAGAUUUAGCAGCCAGAUGGAGCCAACUCUGCAAGUACCAGGUCUAAAUUCUCCGUCAACAGGGUCAAGAAAUCCCAGUGCUGGUGCAUUUGAUUUUUUCAAAUACUAUUUUCACGAUUAAGUUGGAUAAACGUUACCUAGCUAGUAGCUAGUAAUAGAUUACCUUGAUAUGUUAAUCUUCAGGAUGAUAAUUUUUUUAUUUUUGAGUUUGUGAUUCAAUUUAUUGGAUUUAAUUUUUGGACAAUAAGCUUUGGCUAAACUUUUUUGCGCGCUUUAUAAAUUAAAAAUCAAUUUAUUCGUACAUAAAGAAGUCAUACGUGAUCAGAAUUCAAGAAUUUGAAAAUAAUCUUCUUUUAGUGAUUUUUCUUUUUCCAAAUUUUAAUUUAUAAAAUUAUAUUGAAACACUUUAAAAGAUAACUUAAAUUUUAUUAUCAUCCUAAUAAUUUUUAUACCUAAUAAGUCGUAUCUAUUAAAAAAAUUUAUCAAAACACAUAUAAAAUUAUUAUUCAUUUUUUUGUCACAAGAUACUUUCUCGUGAAUUUCAAAAUUUAUAAACUUAAUAAACCAAUCAUUGACAUCAUGACAUUUUGUUCGGGCGUAAUUUACCUAGGCCCCUAUCGAGCCACUUACAUGCCUAGCUGGAUAGAUGAGUUCUGGGCUAACUCCUUCUAUGAUCGUGACGAGGAGGCAUGUAUUUCCUUGUUAUAAAAUAAGGGGCGUGACCCAUAAAACAUGUACGGUUGGCAAAAUUUUCCGAAUCACGGAUAUCCAAUCGAAUUGAUCUGAAUGGUUUUUACCGAAUCCGAUUUUUAUGGUAUAGUUACGAUUUUGGUUUUUAUUUUUCAAAACCGAUUUAAUUUGGUUCGGAUUUGAUUUUUAGGGCAACCGAACAAAACCACCAACCCGAAUAUCCAAAACCCGAACCAAACCGAAACCCGAACGAGCCCGAUAGUAUAGAUUUAUUUUAUAUCAUUAUAUAAUAUAGGUCAAGUUCUAUGAAGUACACAAUAAUAUUGGAGUACCAGUCACAAUUUUUUACUUUAAUUAUAAAUAAUAUCUUCGACUGUAAAUUUUUUUAAUAUAAUUUAUCAUUUAUAAGUACACUUGAACAUAAUUAUCACUUAAUCAUUAAUAUAUUUCAACUUUAACACGUAUUAAAAUUAUUGUUCUACUUGUGAAUUAUAUCGUAGAACAUAAUGUCCUCCACUACAAAAAAACAGGACAAAACCAACCGGCUAAAACCAACCGCCAAAAAAAAGUGUCGACUUAAAACCGACCGGCCUAAAUCGGUCGGUUACACUGCAGCACGACGUCGUUUUGCCUUGCUGGCAAGGCCAGACAUUUUAUAACCGACCAGAACAAGAGCGGUCGGUUUUAUGGCUGACGUGUACGACCACGGUUAUGUUUUCUUAACCGACCACGGUUAUGUUUUCUUAUCCGACCACGGUGUCUGUUGGUUAUGUUUUUUUAAAAAUUUAAUUGAUUUUUAAAUAAAUUAUGAGUUUGAACGACGACGUUUAAUCGCGAAAACCAAAGCGGUCGGUUUUAUCCUAUUAUAUACAUAUAAUUUUUUUUAUUUUAUGUGGAAAAUGGAUUACAUAAACUCGUCAGAAAAGGGGUUACGACACCGUUUUCUUAUAAAUAUCAUAACCGACCGGCGCCGGUCGGUUUUAAGUCGUAAUUUUGAUUAAUAUGAUUCUCCCCCACCAGUCUCUCUUUCUUUUUCCCCAACUUAUUUUCUUCCUCUUCUCUUCCCAAAAAUCUCUCUCUCUCUACUCCCCUCUCUCUCUGUCUCUCCGCCAACUAACCUCUCCCUCUCCGCCAACAAAAUGCACAUGAAGAAUACGGAUUUUAAACUCCAUUCGGUCUCGAUUGGAUUUUGGAUAUCAAUCUCAAUUAGGGUUCAAUCUCAACUUAAAGGUAUAUCGAUCUCUCCCUCAGUUUCUCUUUAGCAUUUUGUGUAUGUAUAUAUGUGUUUUUGUAUGUAUGUAUAUAUAUGUUUCUUUAUGUAUAUGAUUUUGAAUUUGAGUUUGAUUUUGAUUUUUAGUUUCUCUUUAAUUGUUUAUGUUCUUUGAAUUCGAUUUUUAGACGAGUUUGUAAGCAUGAAUGCAUGAUAAUGAAGAAGGAGUCCAUUUUUGAAGCAAAAUAUAUAAUCAUUUCAUUAAUAUUCAUAAACGUCUUUAUAAAUACUUAAAUAAAAUUCAUAAAAAAACACUUAAAAACAACUUUAACAACUUCAAAUCCCCGAAGGGCCCGCCUCGCCUUUGCCCUUGCCCGCCUUGUCCUCCUUGUCCUCAUCCUCCUUUUGUUGCUUCAACUUCGCGGUCAUCAUCCCCGCGAAGCGAAUCAUCCACUCUUGCUUGCGUAGCGCUGCCCGCCUUUCUUCCUCUAGCCGCUCCUGUUCGAGAUAGUGAUCCAUUUGCAUGAACAUGAUUGGGAUUCUAUAAUCCCAAUCCAUUUCCACCCAAAUAUCAUCGGGGAUGUCGAGAAUGCCAUAGGAGACUCCAUCGAUUGUGACGGUGUUGCUGUUGUAGUUGAGUAUGACUGCCAUUGUAAUUUUGAUUGUGAUUGUAGUAGUUGUAGUUAAUUUGUGGUAGAUUAGAGCCCUUUUUAUAGCACAAGUGUUAAGCAACUAAAAAGUCUCUACAUUGAAUUGUAUUAGUGUUACAAUCCCAAGAGUCACCCUUCCAUUACCUUGUAUUGAAUUCUAUGAGUUACACUCCCAAUAUUCAUACCCCUUGAUUGCUUAGGAAUUUGAUAGGAUUUUGAAAUUUAAAUAUUAUUAAGAUUAAUUUUAUUUGAUUUUGGACUUUGAAUUUGAUUUAAAUAUUGUUAUUACUCAUCUAUUUUAAUUGAUUUUGAGUUUGAUUUGAUUUUGAUAUAUUUUUUUGAGUUUGAUUUUAUAAAGCGUGUGAGUUUAAUUUGUUAUUAGCAUAAAUUUUAAUUUGAAAUAUUUUGAAGAUUAAACAAUUUUUUAGGGAGUUAUCAUUGACGGGACUGGUUUUUAUCAGACGACUUGCGAAUAAAUGGUUGCAUUUGUUAUGAGUUUUCUGAUAUAAAACCAGUUCCGUCAAAUUAUUUUUUUAAAAAUUUAAGCGACAAAACUGACCGACACCAAUCAUAACCGACCGAGGUGACCAUUGCCGUAACUCAGUAAACCGACCGAUAACGUCAUAACCGACCGCUUAUACCAUAACCAAGUGCAGAAAACCGACCGAAUUGCUGGUCGCUUUUGAUCUGUCGGUUUUACGUGGUCGGUUUUAAAUGCUGGGAAAAUAGCGCACUGCUCGUUAACCGACCGGAAACAUAUGGUCGGUUUUGUGUUUAUUAGUUUUAUUUAUCGAUUUAUUUGGCUAAGUCAUGAGAAUGCUCUGCGGCACCGACGAACGACGUCGUAUGCGUACUAUAAAGCCGACCGGCGACGGUCGGUUUAGAUUAUUUUUAUUUUUAAUUCUCGAUUUAUUUGGCUAAGUGCAGAGACAACGUCGUUUGUGUGAUAUAAAACCGACCGACCGCGGUCGGUUUUGGUUAUUUUAAUUUUAAUUCUUGAUUUAUUUUGGCUAAGUGCUGUUUAGUGGACUAUAAAACCGACCGAAUUCUUGGUCGCUUUUGAUCGGUCGGUUUUACAUGGUCGGUUUUAAAUGCUGGGAAAAUAGCGCACUGCUCGUUAACCGACCAGAAACAUACGGUCGGUUUUAUUUUACGACAUAACCGACCACCUGGUGGUCGGUUUUGACCGCCAUUUGUAUAUUUUAUUAUUAAAAAAACGGCGGGUAGGUGCGUUUUAGCAGUGAUACGACAGCGUUUUGUUAAAAUAGACAUAACCGACCGGUUGUUUUUGACAGGCGGUCGGUUUUGUUUGAGCUAAAAAGUAAAAAACUACUCUCCACUUUCAUUAUACAACAAAGCUUGGAAAUUAUCAUAUAUCAAAAGAAGAAGAAGGAGAAGAAGAAAAAGAAGAACAAGAAAGGAAGGAAUCAAUUAUCAAAAACAAAGUAAGCUACUCUUCUUAAUUAUGAUCACAUUGUGAUUUUAUUUAUUUUGUUGAGAAUAAUUUGUAUGCAUGUUGUUUAUAUAAAUUUCUUGGAUAAUUUGUAAUGUGUAUAUGUUAUGUUCAUACAUACGUGGUGUGUAUAUAUAUUUAUGUAGAUGACAAAUCUUGAUCGGAGUUGGAUUAGUAACCGGUUGCAACGAGAUAAAAUUACUCUAAAUUUAGAAUAUAGGGAAGGUGUAGAGGAAUUUUUGAAUUUUGCAAGCUUGAAAAUGGAGGGAGGUAUGAUGAAAUGUCCUUGCAAGCUUUGUAAAAAUUUGAAUUGGUUAGGGGUAGAUGAUGUUCGGUUUUCAUUUGAUAUCCGAGGGUAUGAUGGAGAGUUAUACGGUAUGGACUUCGCACGGAGAGGUUUCGCAAAAAAGUAAAAAGCGAAAAUCAUGUGAAACGCGAGAAUGUCGUAGGGUAGUAGAUGAUCAUGUUGAUAUCAACUCCAUGUUACAUGAUUUUGCCGGUUCGAAUCAUGAAUUUUAUGAUACCACGGGUACUACUAAUGUUGAAGAAGCUCCUAAUGAUAGUGCUAAAGAAUUUUAUAAGGCGAUUGUUGAAAAUGGUGCUCCUAUUUAUCCCGGUUGCACAAAAUUUACAAGAUUAAGUUUUACCGCAAAAUUGUUGGAGUUCAAAAAUGCGUCUAAUUGUAGUGACAAAGCCUUCAACAGUUUGAUUAAGAUCAUUAUGGACGUGUUACCAAAAAAGCACACAUUACCCGAGUCUUAUUAUGAGAUGAAAAAGGUUAUGAAAAGUUUAAGGGUGGAAUAUGAAAAAAUUGAUGUGUGCGAGAAUGAUUGUAUGCUAUUUUAUGGAGAUGACAAAGAUAAAAUUGUGUGUGAUAUAUGUAGUUGUAAUCGAUAUUUGGAUAAAUCAAGGAAAAAUGGUAAGAAAAUUCCGAGAAAGAUUUUAAGACAUUUUCCUUUGAUUCCCCGACUGCAACGCUUAUAUAUGUCGGCACAUACAUCCAACCACAUGAGGUAUUACAAAAAUCGAGAGGUCAAUGAAAAAGAAAUUUCUCACCCUGCGGAUGGAGACGAAUGGAAGAAUUUUGACCUCCGAUAUCCAUCAUUUGCUCAAGAAAUUCGUAAUGUGAGACUUGGUUUUGCGACCGAUGGUUUCAACCCGUUUGGGAAUACGGGUAACAAAACAUAUAGUGUAUGGCCCGUGGUAAUUGUUGUGUAUAAUCUUCCGCCGUCCAUGUGUACGAAAAGACCGUAUAUGUUAUUGACGGAUAUUAUACCGGGUCCGGAGAGUAUUGGGAAAAAUAUUAAUAUAUAUCUUAGACCUCUCAUUGAUGAAUUGAAGACAUUAUGGUAUACCGGAGUGCAAACAUAUGACCAAUCUCUAAAACAAAAUUUUACCAUGAGAGCGGCUCUUAUGUGGACAAUCAGUGAUUUUCCUGCCAUGAGUAUGGUAAGUGGUUGGUCGGGGAAAGGAAAGCUUGCAUGUCCAGUGUGUUUGGGAAGUGUGCAGGGGUUUCAGUUAAAACAUUCUGGGAAAUGUUCUUUUCAUGGCACUAACCGAAUUUUUCUUGAACCUAAUGAUCCAUUGCGUAAGAAGAGUAGCUUGUUUGACCAUUCGAAAAAAAGGUUGUGGUGUGGACGCUUAUCCGGGGAGGAAGUUAAAACUUGGAUUGAUAGCAUAGACUUUCCACCACCCGGAAAGACUAACAAAAAGAAAAGAAGUGAUGGAUAUGGGGUUGAGCAUCAUUGGACUCAUGCCCCGAUGUUCUAUGAUCUCCCUUAUUGGUCUUCACAUAGUUUGCGACAUUCCAUUGAUAUCAUGCAUACCGAAAAAAAUGUGUUUGAGAACAUAUUUUUUACCAUUGUUGGGGGUAAGAAGUCAAAAGAUCACCACAAGGCAAGGUCGGAUUGCAAACACUUCGGUGUGUUGCCUCAUUUGUGGAUUGAUGAAAAUGGCAAAAAACCAAAAGCUCCGUACUCUCUUAGUAGAAAACAACUCAAACUUCUAUGUCAGUGGAUUGAGUCGUUGAAACUUCCAGACGGUUAUGUCUCAAAUAUAUCUCGUUGUUGCAAUGCUAAGGAGUGUAAGUUUUUUGGAUUUAAAUCGCAUGAUUGUCAUAUUUUCCUUCAAAAAUUGUUGCCUCUAUCAAUUCGCGAUCUUCUACCGGGACCAAUUGUGGAUGCCUUGACAAUGAUUUCCAAUUUUUUUCAAGAAUUAUGUUCAUCCGUGAUUUCAGGAGGACAGUAAGUCUACUUGUAGUAACUUAUCUAUAUAUAUAUAUAUAUAUAUAUAUAUAUAUAUAUAAUAAGCGAGAGACGUGAGAGACGUGAAUGCUGACCGUUGGAUCAGUCUUGAUCUUGUAAUCUAAGCAGAUACUAUACGUACUGUAUAAAUACAAUUAAAUAAUGAUUAAGGGCAGUAUACGGAAGCUUUUAAAACAAAAAAAUAUUUCUACGUAUAUUUGUUUGAAUCUAUCUAAAAUUUAUUACAAAACUUACCAAUAACNNNNNNNNNNNNNNNNNNNNNNNNNNNNNNNNNNNNNNNNNNNNNNNNNNNNNNNNNNNNNNNNNNNNNNNNNNNNNNNNNNNNNNNNNNNNNNNNNNNNNNNNNNNNNNNNNNNNNNNNNNNNNNNNNNNNNNNNNNNNNNNNNNNNNNNNNNNNNNNNNNNNNNNNNNNNNNNNNNNNNNNNNNNNNNNNNNNNNNNNNNNNNNNNNNNNNNNNNNNNNNNNNNNNNNNNNNNNNNNNNNNNNNNNNNNNNNNNNNNNNNNNNNNNNNNNNNNNNNNNNNNNNNNNNNNNNNNNNNNNNNNNAUACACACCUUAAUUUCUUUAUUAAGAUUUAAUUCACAUAUAUAUUAUAUUCAUGAUUUAAAUUGUUUUUGGAAGGAAAUGAAAAGGAAGGAACGUGGAAAGAAUCCAACUCGCCUUGAAGUAUGGAACCGGACGCAUACAAGGGUUGGAAGUGAUCCCGAGCACCCCGUGUAUACCACGCCUGCUGCAAUGGCCAUAGCGGUAAUUAAAUGAUUGUCUUGUGUUUUUUUUUAAAGUUUCAAUGUCCAUUUUACUUUCUAAGUUGUUUAAUGUACUGAUUGAUGCACAUUUCUCUGUAGACACGAUAUGCUUCUAUUCUAGAAAGCAGGCCGGUGUCGGUUACACAAACAGGGGAUAGAGACGAGCCCUUGGAAUGGUGGUUGUCAGCAACCGGAGUUCCCGAAGGCAAAAAGCCUAAGAAGGACUACCUUGUUGGAUUCCCCGAGGCUCGUGCUAGUCAACUUAUUCCGACUCUCGCCUCACGUUACAGGGAUUCAACAAGAGGCGAAGCCGGUGGAUCUUCCGGUCAGAGACAAACCGUCAUUCCCGACAAUGUGUACCUCUCGGUCGUGCGCAAUGUGCUCAAUGAGGUCCAUGCGAACCCCCUUCAAUUUCAGCGACAAAUGUCUGAAGAAGAGAUCGUGAAUUUUGCAAAGACCGCACUAGAGGCCUCCGAUCCAGCUGCCGAUCCAAGUACAAGGGUUCAAUGGAAUUCUAUGAUUGGUGGGGAGAUGGUACACAUUGUGGAGUCGAUGGUCGAGGAUAUACUCCUCAAAAUGGAAAGGAAGGUUGAAGAGGUACGAAUUCAUAUUUGUUAUCUACAUGUAUUGAUCGAGUAUGCUUAUUUUCUUACUGGUUGUCAUUGUCUAUGAUAUGUGCAAUUAGGAAAAGGAACGCAGACUCGCAGCGGAGAAGGAUUAUACUGAUCCAGAGGAUCUGUCGGAGGAGGAACGCGGAGGACCCGAAGCCGGUGCUGAUGCGGGUGCCAAUGCUAGUGCUGCUUCGGGAGCGGAUGCUAGUGCUGCUACCGGAGCGGGUGCUAGUGCCGCUGCGGAUGGAGUUGCUUCCGAUUCAGAUGUUACAUUAGAUUAGUUUGGCUUUUGAAUAUUUGUGUUUUGAAUAUUGUGUUUAAGUUGGAUUUGAAAUUUGGUUAAUGCUUGUGAAGGGCUUUUGGUUUGCCCUUGUAGACAAUUAUAUGUUUGAUGUUUGGGAUUGUAGUUAUGGUACAUUUUGUUGUUGUUAUAUAUGGUUGUGGUUUAUGUUAUUUUGGAUAUUGUUGAUAUUGUUGGUUGUUGGUAGCAGGUAUGGCAGUAUAUGGAAACAGCAAGAAUUUUUUUUUUUGAUAGAAAACCCAGAAAACCGACCGACUAUCGACAAAACCGACCACCGUUACCAUUCAAUUCACAGACAAAACCGACCGCUAAACACAUAACCGACCACGGUUACCAUUCAAAAAAGCCAGAAAACCGACCGAUUGCUUCUAACGCGGUCGGUUAUCUUCGGGUGACCGGUCGGUUAUAUACGGUCGGUUUUAAGCCCUGCAAGCGGUCUGCUCGUUAACCGACCAAGUGAAUCGGUCGGUUUUAAGCCCUGCAAGCGGUCUGCUCGUUAACCGACCAAGACAGUCGGUCGGUUAUGGGAAACCGACCGCCGUUGGUCGGUUAUAAGGUCAUUCUUUUUGUUUGACUUUUUUGGUCAAACGUUUAUAACCGACCAUAGGCGGUCGGUUUUGUUGCCCUCCACAAAUUUGAAUUUUUUGGUCAAGAUGCUGUAACCGACCACAGACGGUCGGUUUUUGUGCCCCCGACAAAUUUGACUUUUUUGGUCAACCAAUUAUAACCGACCAAUGCCGGUCGGUUACAUUAUUCUUAGAACGAUUGACCAUAUUUUGGUCAAACAUUUAAACCGACCGACGUCAGUCGGUUAUAACUUUACACGUGGCUAGGGCGUCAACGUGGCUCCAGAUGGCAUUGCAGGGCCCAGGGUAGCGACUUUCUUAAAUAAGCAAAACCGACCGACAUGUCGGUCGGUUUUCGUCUUUAAACCCGACCAAUUCUUCAUAACCGACCAGGUUACAACCGACCAGCAUUUCCGAUCGGUUUUCGUCAUAAAACCGACCGUUUUUGGCUUUAACCGACCGUUUUGGUCGGUCGGUUUUGCCCUGUUUUUUUGUAGUGCUCUAAUAGUUUUUUAAUGUUUUUUAUAUAAUUUUUGGGUUUCGGUUUAUACUGAACCGAACCGAAAACCGGUGAUUCGGAUUUGGUUUUUGAACUUUGAUUUUCAGUUCGAUUCGGUUCAGGUUCGGUUUUGAAAAAUAAUAUUCGGUUCGGGUUCGGUUUUUGUCAAAACUGAUUGCCAUCUCUAAAAACAUUGGAUCAGUUGGCAGGAUAGAGCUGGACAAUUUUUUAUGUUUGUGAAUAAAAAAAAAUAGAACUGAUUAUACUCAUUUACAAUUUGUUUGCGUAGCUAAAAAUAUCGUUACUAGAUUGUUUGGACGCAAAAUAAAUUUUGUGAUUGUUAACCUCUGAAACACAAUGGGCAGAUCAAAGCUUUUACUAUAUCAUGGCCAGCUUGAAUGCUACAACACUAUUUUCUUCCAUUCCCUCUAAACCCUGUUCCUUACCAAACCCAAAAAUCUCUACGUCCAUAUUGCCUUCUCUCCACCUUCAUCUUCUUCUUUUGGAGUGACUGCUUCCUCUGGAGUGACUUCUUUUUAGCUACGCAAACAAAUUGUAAAUGAGUAUAAUCAGUUCUAUUUUUUUUAUUCACAAAAAUAAAAAAUUGUCAUGAUGCUCUACCAGUACAGGAACAGUCAUAUUGUUGAACAAGCUAAUGAUCGCAUAUGGCCAGUUCAAGUAAAUGCACCAGGAGACUUUGGAAACUUCUAUAGUCAUGAUGCUUCCAGGUUUGAUUUUUUCGACAGGUGGGGCAAUCCUUUGCCUUCUAGUCCGAUGGUCUAUUUGGAUAACCCGCAA
rnacentral:lncRNA from 1 species